UGCCUCUCAAAACUAAAUCUAGUUCAGUCUUGGAUACAUUUAUUUUCACUUGCUGCUGGUAGCUAAGUUCUGCAAAUAAAACGGAUUCGUGACGUUAGGUUCAGGUGCUUUGCCACUGGGCUAAAAGCUUAAAUUAAUGAUGUUGGUGCACCAUAUUUCCCUUCUAGAUUCCUAACUCGUCAGCAGGAUUUUGGGUUCAUUUUAUGUCAUAUGAAGCCUUUCAAUUACAUGCAUUUAUUCUGGUAUGUAUUGUCUAUGGCAAGUAGCUAACAAGCACAAGCAAUGAAUCUGGAUCCAAAGCUGAUCUACUAUGUGUUGAGUUUUUAAAGAUUUUGUCGUCUUUGCAUUUAUGAUAGUUUAUGAUAUAAAUAUAAAAUCAAAAUCUCACGAAUCAACAACUUUUUCUAUUUCGUUCUCGCCUUAAAGCAUGACAAAGUAAGUAAUCAAGUGCAUAUUGUGCUUUUCCCUUGGUUUUCAGAUUCAACUAGGGGUGCACAAUUGGAUUGGAAAAGACGCAUAUGCAUCAUUAAUGGAAUUGCUCGAGGCCUUUUGUAUUUGCACGAGGAUUCUCGACUCAGGGUUAUUCAUCGAGAUCUUAAAACUAGUAAUAUCUUGUUGGAUCAUGAGAUGAACCCCAAGAUAUCAGACUUUGGAAUGGCAAGAAUCUUUGGUGGCAAUCAAAAUGAAGCUAAUACUAAUAGAGUUGUUGGAACAUAGUAAGUAACCUAUUUUACCACAUACUAAGUACUGAGAAUUUAUCUAAAAUAAUGUGCGUUGAUUGACUUCAUUUAUUUAUUUGACAUUUAUUUCCAACAGUGGAUAUAUGGCACCCGAAUAUGCAAUGGAAGGAGUAUUUUCAAUAAAAUCAGAUGUUUUUAGUUUCGGAGUUCUUCUUCUAGAGAUUGUAAGUGGAAAAAGGAACAGUGGAUUUUAUCUUUCGAAAGACGGUCACAGCCUCCUUACUUAUGUAUGUGGCCUUUUUCUAGUUUAGUCUUAACAUGAUUGGUAAUUAAAAGAUCUCUUCUUUUGACUCAAAAGAUUUUACCGUUUGAACUAGUUCAUACUUGAGAACAUGCAUGUAUGCAACUAUCUUUAUCACUCAUUUGGAAGAAUGAUUUCUCGAUGAUUAAUUAUAGGAUACUAAUCUUUGUUCGCGACAUUUCAGACAUGGAAAUUAUGGUGUGAAGGAGAAGCUCUGGAGCUGAUGGAUCCAGUACUCAAGCAGUCAUGCGUGGGCGCUGAACUUCUGAAAUAUAUACAUAUUGGAUUGUUGUGCGUUCAGGAAGACCCAGCCCGCAGACCUAGCAUGUCAUCUGUGGUUGUAAUGUUGGCGAGUGAUACAAUAACACUUCCUCCACCAGCCCAGCCUGCAUUUUCUGUUGGCCGAAUGGUUGCUAGUUCUGGUCCAUUCUUUUCAUCAGAUUCUAAAUUUUGCUCUAUUAAUGAGAUUACUCUUUCAAGUGUGUAUCCUCGUUGACAAUUUUCAGUUGUCCAAAAAUUCAAAGACAGUUUGUUUCCGUGGACCAUCGUUUGUUUUACGAACCCUCUACAAAAUUAAUUUCUGUGCCUGCAAAGUGCACGGUGUAGCUGGACCAAGAUUUUGCCUAAAUUCUAUUUAAUCAUAACCCUUUGUCAAAUCAAUAAUGGAAAAACUUGUUGGUACUACAUGUUAAAAUAAUUUAUUCUGGCAAUUAGUGUAGCUCGACUAGUUGUCAAUACACUUUUCAUCCAUGGUCAUUUGAGUUUAAUUAAUAAUAAGUGUUUCAUACGUCUAAAUACUUGUUCGUUUCUUUAAUUUUCAUCAAUUAUAGGAAUUAUUAAAAUGAUUAGACAGAAAUUCACAGACACCUCCAAAUCUUUGGAAUACAUUGAGUCCAAACUCCAACCUGAAAUUUUUUUUUCUUUUUACUUUUUCCAAUGAAACGUUUAUAUAAGUCGGGAAAGGCAUAUAAAAAAAUUUAACUGGCCUAAAGAUAAAAAAUAGCACUUUCAUGGGAGAGAAAGUCACAUACACCUCCAGAUAGUCAGGAAAGACAUAAAAGAUUUUAACUGACCACAGGAUAAUGGAUAAAUAAUCUCUAAGUCUCCCAAUGAGUGAAUGAACAUAUUUCCGCUGGAACAAUUUCAGAAAUCCAUUUCCUUACAUCUGCUGAGGGAAGUCUGUAUAAUCCUGAAAAUUAAAGACAGAAAAAUAAAAAAAAAUGAAAAUAUUAUAUUACUAGUUAACCAGCCAGCCACCUGGAGGACCUUGGAAUGAAAAAUAGUCCCGGCAGUUGUGUUAUUAUUACUCCAGUGCAGUAAUAUAACUCCUACAAAAUUAAAUUCACAUAUAAAACCAUUUAAUUUGUGUAUUAAAAACAAUAACACAGUGGAGAUCACUAUGUAGAAUUAUGACCUAUGACGGCCAAGCUGCCCCAGUUGACAAGAGAACCAUAUGCAUAUAGAAAAGAAACAACUUUAGUCAGAAUCUCUUCAGUAACUGUGAAAAUAGACUCAGCAUUUAGUCACCUAAUUGAAAAGGGUCUAUGAAUCUUUAACAAAAUAUGUUAAAAGAAGACCUUCAAUCAAAUUAAGUACGUACCCGAUUAAUUAAUUGAGUGCAGUAAAUAAUCCGCUUAAAUGCUUUGGAGUGAUUUCCGCAACAUAUUGAGACAAUAUACUGAACAAAUCACUUAUUAUGACGAAAAGGGUUUGUGUUACUGGGAAUUAAAACAAUAUAGACAGAUAUAUAUGUGUGUGUGUGUGUAUCAGUGUGUGUGUGUAGGUGGAAUAGGGGAACUAUACCGCAUAUAAAAGCAAGCCCUAAUCUACCAAUGUCGAGACACUUUAAAAUUGUGCACUGGUUUGGUUUAAACAGAGUGAAAAAUCUUAUACUAUAUGAAAAAAAAAGAAAAAUUCUACGUGACUGCUGACUAGUGAGUAGUGACAAUUGAAGUAAGGCCAAUUUCACUGCGCGGAAGAUCAUUCUAUUGCUGGUCCAAGUUGGGCCAAGGCCUCAAAGCUAAUCAUUUUCUGUCCAAAAUUAGCCUUAAAUUGGCCCAUCAAUCAUUUGCAUGUUUUUACCAUCUUGAGUCGUUACUUAAGAUAUGGGAGUCUAUUUAUUUAAUUUUUUUCACUUGUCUCUUCAGUUUAUUAAAUCAAGACUUCCCCAUUAAAACAAGACGACUCAUAUCUAUGCAUAAGAGAAUUUAAUAUCUAAAGAAAUUAAUAUUGGUACUGAAAUUGCUUUAAUUUUAUGGAAUCAUGGAUACAAGUAAUGAGCUAGCCGUUGGAGGCUAAACAGGAAAUAUAAAACCGAGCCUAGACAUAUGCUAUACAGAAGUGAUUAUGAUCUAAGCCCACAGGAUUAAAGUUAUGUAACUAAUGAUAUUUAUUUAAUUGUCAUACAUCCGUAACUCAUCUGGUUCAUUGAAUUAAUCUUUGUUGUUCUUUACAAACUUAAUUCACUCCUUCAGUAAUAAAGGGUUAGUUAUUGAAAAAUCUCCAAUCACAGGAUUUAAUCUUUGCUUAGAUUAAUCUCGUUGACAAUCAUAAAGAAAAAUGAAAUGCAUGUCAUCUCAAGUUGAUGGGAAAAAAUCACUAAUUAAGAAAAGUCACAGAUCCUACGGCUGCUGUUUAGUAAAAUGGAUAGUCAAUGGAAACUGAAGGGGUCAAAAUAAUUCAGAGAGCCACAUUGUCUGUUUCAGGAUUUGAUAAGUUAAUUGAUCAUGAAUUAAAAAAAAAUUAAAUUUUAGACUAGGAUUAAGAUAAACUCACCUUUCUUAUACCAAAUAUAUUGGUUAAUGGCCCAAGAGCUUGGAUUUGGACAAAAUAUUUAGAAGCCCAAUAACCCAUUUGCCUAUUUUGACCCAACUAUUUCAUAGAUUGACCAAAAAAUUAUUGCGAUUGCAUGUAAUGUGACACUAACUGUGUAAGAUAGAUUGAGCAACGUAAUCAAAGAAAGGAAUUUUUUUUUCAAGGGUCAAAAGUAGUAUUGUUUGGAGAAUACAGGCAUAUUAUACGAUGAAUCAGUCAAUUUAUUAAUGGAGGAAAGCAAUUCCAUUAUUUGACAACUAUUGGGAAAGAAAGAAAAGCCGGAGAAGGAACCUUGGCAAAUACUAUAGCUAGCCAGCCUAGGAUGCAAAAUAAUUCAGAGAGCCACAUUGUCUGUUUCAGGAUUUGAUAAGUUAAUUGAUCAUGAAUUAAAAAAAAAAAUUAAAGUUUAGACUAGGAUUAAGAUAAACUCACCUUUCUUAUUCCAAAUAUAUUGCUAAUUUUCCACUUAAUAUUGCACCUAGCAUUCCUCUAGUUGUCAUUUUUGAAUCAAAAUUGAGUAACGCAUGCGGAAUGAUAUUCAAUAUAUAUAAAACGAAUUCACAUUUACAAUUAUGGCUUGAUUAUAAAAAGAUAAGAAGAUAAGAUUACAUGUACAGUAUAGUAGGCUUUUUGUCAACAAACCGACAAAAGAUAAAAUAUUAAAAGGCUUGAUUAAAAUCUAUUAGCUACAGUAAAUUAUCGGUGAUUCAGCGUCGAUGAGAAAAAUUAUAGGUAAAAGACAUUUUCACACUUUUUUCUUAUUGGACAGUGAUAAAACAAAGACACUUAGAAAUUAAUUUGGAGAAGCUCGACCAAAUUAUUGAAUAAAUCCGUAAAUACAAAUUUUAGGCUUGACCAUGCUAUCCAGUUAUAAUACAAUGUCAAUUUGGAAAUACCACAGUCUAAUGUCAAUUAUGCAUAUUAAAACAUGGAAACAUUCGCUGUUUGAUGUUUACAACUGGGACAUAUUAUCUAUUAAGUUUAUUUCGAUAUGCAUUACUUGAUCAUCAAAGAAUUUUAUAGACAUAGUUAAUUUGUCGUAAAUUAAUAGAUGAUACCAAAAGCAGCUAUGCAUGGAGCUUUCCAUGAAUGGGCCAUGAUGCCAGACUCAGCACCAGAUGAGUAUGACCCACCUGCAAAAUAACAAAAAUGAAUAGUUAAGUCAAAGGCAAUGAAUGUGAUAAGAUCCACGUGUCAGAUUUGUUGGGAGCAGCCUGAUGCAACAAAGUCCCCACGAAUCUAAACUUGCCACGUUACCAACGUAGAUGACAUAGACUUCUUCUUCUUUUUGAUUCUAUCCUUUUAAUUUUUAAACGAGUAUGUGUGAAAACUCAGACAAUAUGUAGAGUGAAGUAAUGCAUAUCGAAAUAAAAUUAACAGAUAAUAUAUCCCACUUGUAAACAUCACACAGCGAAUGUUUCCAUAUUUUAAUAAAUUGACUGAUUCAUCAUAUAAUAUGCCUGUAUUCUCAAAACAAUACAACUUUCGACGUCUGAAAAAAAACAAAAUCCGCUCUUUGAAUACGUUGCUCAAUCUAUCUUACACAAUUGGUGGCUUGGUGCAUGUCACAUUAUAAGCAAUCGCAAUAAUUUUUUGGUCAAUCUAUGAAAUAGUAGGGUCAAAAUUAGCAUAAAAGUGAUUAAUGGGGCCGAUGAAGUAUAAUGAGUAGAUCAAAUAUUAUAGUUCGAACUGAUAAUCUGAUAUAAUCAAAUCUUCAACAAGAUAAAUAUGAUCCUCGUGUUUCACUCAAUUUAUCCCUAUGUUACAUCAAUUUAGCUACAUAGCCUUUUCAUUUAGAAUGGGUGCCUCACUUUCCACAAAUUUGAAAUAAUAUUUUAUAUUUUUUUUAAGGAUAAGCCUUAAAAGUAAUGUCUCUGACACAUUCUAUUAUUACUAUAUUGUGUUUAGCACAUUAUAUGUUUUAUGUUGUAUUGUAUUAUUUUAAUGCAGAUAUAUUGUAUUAUUUUGUAUUAUAUUAACACUAUAUUAGAAUAAUACUAUACAACUUUUGGUGCUACACUGUAUUGUAUUAAUUUUUAAUUAUACCAUGUUGGUACUGCAUUAUACGUAUUAAUUUUUUUGUGAUUAAUUUAAAUUAUAUAUUUAAAAAAUAAUAUUUAUUAGUACUUAGAAAAAUACUAAAUAUAGAAGUCUUACAUUUUAGAAAUUUAACUUUUUUUAGUUUAAAUGUUCAAAAACAUCAUAAUUCUUUGUAAAGAUCGAAGCUUAUAACCUUAAAUUUUAUGCAGCAUGAUUUAUUUCCAAGUAUUUUCGAAAUAUACAACCUGUGAAAUAAAGAUUGAAGUAAAUAAUUUAAUCAAAUAAUCUCCAAAUAAUAUAACAUCAUAAAUAAAUAGUUAAAGCCUAUAAGAUUAAUUCAAAAGUCAACUUAGGAUGAUAAAAUAAAAAUUUGUACAUAUGACAGGAUAAUCACAUAAUAACAAAGUGAUAUAAUAUUUGGAACAUAUUUACUAACAAAAUAAAUUGUACUAAAUAAAUCAAGUAAGAGUUAUGUAGUAUAUGUAAUAAUAUAUUAUAUCAUUAUUUAAGUUAUUAUUAAUUUUAAGAAUAGCUCAUAGGAAAUAUAGCUUAUAGAUUUUUUUUUAAUUGUCUUUUGUAUUCCAUUAUAUAAAUAGAUAUAAUUAAAUUUUUGUUAUUAGUUAUAUUGAAUUGUUAAUUAAUAAUCAUUUUUUAUCUAUUAAUUACUAUAAUAUAAUUAUAAUUAAUAUUAUGUUAUGUUCUUAUUUUUAUAUAUUGUUCAAGUAUUUACUAUUAGUUAUAUUAACUUAUUAAAUUUAAUCAAUUUUAUAUAUGAAUUAUUAUAAUGGAAUUCAACAUACAUUAUUUACUUAUAUUUUUAAUAUAAUAAAAAUUAACACAUAACAUAAUAUUAUAUUAAAUUAAAAAGUUAUAAUUAUUUAUUAUUAUUAUAAAGUUAAAAACGACAACUACUGCCUUAGCUAAACUUGGCUGGGAGUUGGGUUUAAUUGAUGUAGCCACUUGCUACAGCCAAAUAUGGGGUUGCAUGGAUAAUGCGAUGCAACUCCAUGUAAGGAGGGGUGCCAAACAUCCCCAAAGUGCUAUAAAAUACUAUUUAAAGAUUAGUGUUGGAUCUAAAAUCCUCAAAAGUAGUCUCUCUAUCACAUUUUAUUGCUACUAUAAUGGUUAAAAAGUGGUGAUUAUGUUAAAAAUUUAUAUUAUUCAUAGUUGUCCUUCCUCAGCAAAUGUAGCCUAAAAUGAUAAAAACUUAUGUAGGUUAUGCAUCACAUCUUAAUAUGUUAAGGUUGUGCACCCAAAUGAAUAAGAACUUACUUUUGCUAGGACUGCUUGGUAUUGUGGUGGAACUAUCUAUUUUAAUGCUAUGUGUUAAGGAUAAGCAAGUUGCCAAGCUAUUAGCUAUCGUGUCAAGUGAAUUUGCAACAUGUGAAUUAGUUUUAACUAAUUGCCAUGUGGCAACUUAUGAUAGGAUGUUACUAGAUUCAGGUGGUCAUUGUUAGUAAAGUUGUUAGUGAAGCACCGCUGACAUAAGUUGAACUCAGAAUGCCCACUAUGAAAAGUUAGAAAGUUCCAAUAAAGUCAGAGCAAACAAAAAAGUUAGAAAGUUCCAAUAAAGUCAGAGCAAACAAACAUGACCAACUCGAGCGAUUCAACAUCAUCUUCAAUUUCCUUUUCUUUUGUUCAGCCAAUUGAACUUGAUAGAACAAAUUACCUUGUGUGGAAAGCUUAAGUUCAUGCAUCGAUCAUUGUCAAUGGCCUUCGAGGUUUCAUUAACGGGAUUCUCGAGAUCCAAAUCGGUUUCUCACUGAAAUUGAAGGUGAUUCAUGCAGAUAUGAAGUUGAAAGUUCAAGACAAUAUGCGAAACAUAGCUACAAUGACUAGAAGAAAACCAACAAACUUCUACAAAGCUAGAUGCUAUUUUCUAUGGUGGAUAAUGUGUUUAUCAUUGUGGUUGGCAGUGCACUUUGCUUAAUCUUUAGGAAAAGCUUGUAGAAAUGUUCAUUUCUCAAUCUAAGACUCAUUGUAUGCCUUUGAAAAUGUAGGUUCAAGUCAUGAAGAAAGAAGAUCUUUCCAUCAGUGACUGCUUUAACAAGAUGAAGAAAUUUACAGAUAGCCUAGCUAUUGACAUUAAUCCUCUUUUUUUAAAUGAUUUUAUCAUGCAUUUGCAUACUGGCUUGGAUGAAAACUAUAAGUCUCUUGUCACAAACAUACUUGUUAGGAUGGAAAAGGUAUCAUUGUUGAAGAAGUAUCUUCAUUGAUACUUAGUCAUAAAACUAGAAUGGAGAUAAGUAAAGAAAAGACACAGAAUGAAAUUUACAUGAUAUAUUAGCUAAUUUUGCUUUGAGAGGAUAGAACUCAAAUAAGCUUAGUAACAACAAUCAAAGGAGUUUUAAUAGUGGAAAUUUUGGGGGAUUUGAGGAUUGAUUCAACGGUGUGAUAGCAAAAUCAUCUAUCAGAUUUAUUUUAUACCUGGAUAUAAAGCCUUUAAAUGCAGAAAUAUGUUCAAUUAGGACUUUAUUCAUAAGCAAUGAAGAGGUGGUUUUAGGCCAUAAGGUGGUUGUUGUAACUUUUUCUUGUGUUAUUGGUGUCAAUGUACAAACGUACAUAACAAGUAAUAUAAUGAUAAGUAUUCAAGAUCGCCUCCACAGGAAUUGAUGUUAUCAGACUUGCUAUAGCAAUCUUAACAGUGCAGAUUGUUUCAAAUUAAAAUGAGAAAAUUACUAAAACUAAUAAAAUAACUAAAAUGUAAUAAAUAAAAUAAAAUAAAUAAAUGUAACACCCCAAAACUAACACGUGCGGAGCACGUGAAGAAGGAGUUUACUUACAGAUCGUAAUCCUUACUCAUCAAAUUCCAAACUGAAAUACCUCAAAUUUAUAAUCAAAUAAAUCCACAAAUUCAAACGUCUAACACUAAAUAAUCUCUCCCAAACAUAAAGACAACAAAAGUCUCAAACUCUAAAUUACAAGUUCAUAACAGAAAUAAACUGAAUAGAAAUAUGAGUCUAUUCCUCUUCUUAAUCAAAUGGCAAACGGAAAUGAAAAAUUACUAACUCCAAAGCUAAGCGCACCUCUCAAAAGAAACUUAAUCUGCAAAAGGUAAUGACGAGGGGUGAGCCGUCAACUCGGUAAGUAAAACAAUUCCUAACAUACUAGGCCUAUCGAUACAAAAAUAUUGCAAGCCUUCUUUUGUUUAAAACAUAUAUCAUAAUCCAUAAAUUUCAUAAAACGAUAUAUCACGAUAACAUAACAUAAAUUCUUAAUAAUUCAGAAUAUCCAAAAGCAUAUUUACUUACGAAGCAUCAUAUAAUAUGUAUACAGAAAACAAAAUGUUAGCUCAUGUCACAUAGUGUCACCUAUAGUCCCGGUGACCUAGCCAGAAACAGAAUCAGAAUAUCGUGUGCACACUCAGAACAGAAACCCAGUACUGGUCCAGACAGAUAUAUCAUAUAUUACGAUCAGAAUCAGAAUCAUAACAACUAUGGACAAUAAGCCAAAACAUUAGGAAUCUCAUGCAAUCAUCAAUAAUUGAAAUCAAACAUGGGUACAAAACAUUCGUAUCAGAUUCAUAAAAGUCCAUAUCAAUAAUUUAGGCUUGCAAAGUAUUUUAUAGAUAAAAUCAUAAAAGGUAGUCAUGUCAUAAAAUAAUUUACAUAUUUAAAAGAAUUUAUAAAAUACCUUCUUAAAAAGAAUUUAGGCUUUAAAACAUUUACAUAAAACUAAUUUUGUUAUGAAAAUCCAUUAAUCUUCUAAGUAGUAUAAAAAUAUUUUUACUUAUACUAAUAAUAUCAAAAUACUUAUACAUAUCCAGUAUACUAGGAAUGAAGUUACUUAUCUCGACUAAAGAAUUUGAAUUAACACGCCUCUAAGCCUCUAAGAGCCUCAAUCACCUCCAACACCUUAAAGAAAUACAAGAUAUGACAAUUAAUAACUUAUUCUAAGAAUCUGACUUUCUAAUUCAUACCCGUACAGGUCUGAUUCUCAGAAUUUUAACUCUUGAUCUAUAACUCAUAACGACAUAAUGUUCUAUGGAACUGUUAUGGACAUCCAUGAGUACCCCAUGUAAAAUUUGCAAGAGGAUUCGACAUCAAAAACAUUUUCAAAACUAUUUAUGUCUCAACAAUUUUGAAACUGUUUUCACAUAACGUAAACCAAACAGAACGGGUUCUGUGAUUUUUAUAAAAUAAAAUACUAAUCAGAAAAUUAUGAAAUUAAAACUGGGAUUCCUAGACACAUAAUUUAACCUACAUAUAAACUUUCAGAAUUUUCAGAGUUCAUUUGGUGGUACAAAUAAUCUUGUGAAUCCGAUCGCAAUGCUGGAAUCGCAGUUUUCCAGUGCAGUGGUUUCUAUUUCGAAAAUACAUAUAAAAUUGAAAACGAAGUCGAAUUUAAUGAAAUAAAAUUUACUCAAGAAGCCUACAUGUAUAGUUUCCAGAAAUAUAAAUUUUAGAAGAAAAAUCCUUCAGAAAAUAUAGGUUUAAAUUCGAGAUACUCAUGCUGUCCAGAAUUAUCCUGUGCUUAAUACGUCAAUGAUUGAUUAACUAAACUCAUAAUAAAUCAAAACCCUAAACAAAGCCUAAAUACAUUCUAAAUAAUGCAUUAUGAUCUAUAACCAUCUAGAAUCGUGCCAAUAUAAACCCUAGAUAGAGUAAUUAGAAAUCUGUUGAGAAUAGGGAGAAUAACUUACCCGUCGCUUUGAUUCUCUCCUAAACAAAGGUUUGAAUCCUAAGAUUUGGGUAGGAGCGUAAAGAGCAGCAGAGAAGAAGAAUAAAUGUCGUGGACUUAGGGUUAUGGAAGGGAAAAAAAGUGUGAAUUUAUAGGGAGUCUUAAGAAACCCUAUUUAAUUAGGAAAAAUAACCUUUUUUCCAAAAUUAUCUCAUAAAUAACCUCUAUUUAUAAUUAGUAUCCCUUUCUUAAUAAGGGUUAUAGGCCACCCAUAAUUCUCAAAGAAAGUCCAAUUUUCAUAAUUUAAUAUUAUGGAAAUUUGUGGCGUUACAAUAAAACUCUCACAGUAAACACAAGGAUAAAACCAAUAAGCAUGGAGUAGUAGAGUGAUUAAACUCUCUUAAUGGUUUUAACUAUUUCUUCUAAUUUUAGGCUCAGUUGCUACAAUAUCUGCUACAGUACUGGGCAGUAUCCUAUUGUACCCUCAGUUGUCGCAUGUUAGAUGUCUUAUAUCUUUAUGCAACCUAAUUGUGACCAAUUGUUAUGCCAAUAUAAGAUAUAACAUUACAUGCUUAGGUUCUAAUUACCCUAUAAGGUGAAUCUCUAUGCCUAGUUCAUUACUAAUUUUAGAUUAAGUAUGGCCCUUUUGGAAUUAAGUAAAACUCAACUCAGGAAAUCCAACCUAAAACCAAGUAUUGCUCUUAUAUAUUCCACUAAGAUAGACCCUUUUAUGGCUCUUUCUUAUCUUGUAUCAUUAAAUGGAUGGUCAGCCGAAAUAAUAAAUAUAAAUAAAUAUUAUCAAAACAAAAUGCUAUAGCAAACAUGCAGCACCGCAUAUAUUUAGUUAGUAAACCAUCAAGAUUGUUUAUCACUCAACCACAAAUAAAUUUAGUUCAUAAUAUAUAAAAGAAACAUGAACAAUAAAGUUUUAGCCAUCAAAUACAUCCUCAUGAUUAAAAAAUAAACAAGAAAACAAGAGAAAACUAAGAAGGACUGGAUUCCCGAUUGAUUUUUGCAAACUCUCCUCUGACGCAGCCCUUGAUUUUGCUCUUCGAUUUUGUCUUUUCUUUUGUUUCUUUUCGGUUUUUAUUCUAGGUUGAUGGCCUCUUUUUGUUUUUUUUUUGCGCGUGUGCUCCUUUUAUAUAUGAAAAUUAGGGCAACUGGAAGUCUAAGGCACGUAUCUUCUAGAUUUAGAAACUCCAUAUCGUAAUCUGUUAAGUGUCUCUCACGAAAUCUUCUCUUUUAAUGCUCCAGGAUUGCUACAGCAAUGGUUGCUAUAGCAAUGGCUGCAACAUCUGCAUUGUUCCAAACUUAUUUCAAUUCUUCUGCAGCUAUGUUUUUUCAUUUUUUUUGCAAGCUAUUGCAACAACAUCCUUUCCUUGAGAUUCGAACUUCCAAUUACCUACACUUAUGUAUAUGAUUUAAGCACACAAUUAUUCGAAAUCAAACAAAAUUUACUAAAAUUAAACUAAAAUGGAUGUUAAUACAAACUAUCAUCAAAAUGCAAUAAAAACACAUCAUUUACUCUCUAAGUAAUCUUGAUUUAAUCUAAAAAUAUCAUGAUAACUCUCAUUUUAUAGAGUUAUCACACCCCCAAAUUUAAACUAUUACUUAUCCUCAAGUAAUGAUAAUAACAUUAAUACUCAAUCACACAAUCACACAUUAGUAACAUAGCUCUGCCAUCAAGCUUGCAAGGAUUCGUCAACCUUUAGAUCACACUCUUACUGGUGCAAAAUUGACAUAGUAGUUCAAUUAUAGACUUAGGCAUCCUUUUGUCCAGGGUGUAUGUAUGCCACUUUGAUCAAAUUUCAGAGAUGCUGCAACAUUGCACUGCUGUUAUAUACACUUUAGAGGUAGAACACAAGUACAUUCACACAUAAGGGAAAUAGAAAUCACAAACAAGUUCAAACUAUGCUAUAGCAAAAUAUUCUCUCUCUCUCUCUCUCUCGGGUUUUUUUUUAGAUUUCUCUUCAAUGUAUCAUUGAUUUUUUAUAUAAAUGUCUAUCACUUGUGGUGAUAACACCCAAUUUCUCACUUAAUGUACAAAUCAGAGUUGCUGUAGCAAUGCUCACGACAUAGUUUUAUCUAUAAACAUCUUUAACUCAUGGUUGAAUAUGGGGCUCAUGAACAGACCUGGUUACUCAAUAUCCUAGACAUAAGACCUUAUCUCUCUAUUUUUUUUUUAUGCUACAGCAAUGCUCAUGGCUCUUAUUGUCUUUGGACUCAGGUCUGCAUAUGGGGUACAUACUCAGCUCUGGUUACUCAGUAAUUUAAGCCAUUAGAGCUAAAUUUAUACAAGCACAAUUCAACAAAAAAUUUCCCCCAAACUUGAAAUUUUGCUACCUUUCUCAAUUUUCUAGCUUCUGUUACAACAUUCUCAUAAAACUCAGCUAAACCCUAAGUGUUAGGAUAAAAUUCCAACCCUCAUCCAUGAAUUAAUUCUACUUGGCGAUCUCAAAAAUUGAAUAAAACUCACUUUAUCUUCGUGAGGUUUUUCACUCCAUACACAACUACUAGAUAGCAGAGUUACGCAUAACACGAAACACACAAUGCACAACACAAAUACAUGCACCAACACAACCCCCCCCCCCCCCAAACUUGAGAGGUGUUGUGUCCUCACAAGCACACAAAACAAAACAAACCACACAUGCAUACAUUGGCACGAAAGAAAAGCAAAACAAUUAAAAACAAAAGAAAAGUCUCAGAACUUGAAAGAAAUUAGAUUGGGCUAACAGGGGUACUCUCUAUUGUUGGAUGGUUUGCUACAGCACGAGUUGAAAGGUCACUACUUUUUGGUGGAACUCCUCAAGCGGUCCUUGGGCAAACCUUGUGGUGGGAUAGUGGGUUGCUUUUUCUUCUGGCUUAAUGAUGGACUUAUUAGUGGUGUUCCAAUAGGUACACUAGCUUUGGGCUGAAUGGUUCUUGCCCGCUUGUGCUUUGGUUCUUCUAGUGUUGUAGCACCUCCAGAGGUGGCCUCUUUACAUUUGCUAGAUCCCUUGGGGGCUAUGGGAGGAGAUUUGGUUGGCGUUUAGUGUGGAGCAGCUGGAGCAGGUUUUACUGUAGCAGAGUCCUCAGUAGUGAUUUAAGCAAUGAUGUCUAAGAGGCUCUUCUUCUUUAUAACUAUUUUAGUAACCCUUGUGGCAGCUACUUCAAGUUCUGCAUCAAUGUCCUCUGGAUCUUUCUUUGAGUCGUCUUCUUCCAUAAUAUUUUCUUUACCCUUGCUAGAGAGGACUGGGAUUAAGGGCUCAACAUCUUGCUCCUCCUCUGGUUCAUCUUCAUCAUCUCCGAUGAUGUGUUUUUGUCUUCUUUUAGGAGGCACCAUUUGAGCUACCUCAUCUUUCUCCCCCUUUGGGCCCCUUCUUAUUCUUCUUCUCCUAGUGAGCUGUUAGUUUCUAAUUCAGUACCUUCUGUUUCUUUUGGUGCUAGUUGGUCAUUGUUUGUUGACUCUAAUUCCUUUUCACUGGUUAUUGUUUGAGUGGUCGUAGCAUCUUAUUAUGUUGGGUGGAAGUUAAAUUAUUGUAGUAAAGUGUCAGGAAAGUCUAUGUUUUUGCUUUUCAUGUUGAGAGCAAAUUGAUACAAGUGGUCUUCAAGAUGCAUCAAAUCCAAAAUCUAUUAUUUUCUCUCCGUUGUGCCUUUACACAUUGACUGAUAUUGUCACUAAGCUCUUGCAACCUUCUUUCGACCCCAAUGACCCUCUUUGCAUUUACUACAACAAUAGGCUCUAGUGUACCUACAACAGAUUCUCUAGUAAUUCUUUCUAUGGUUCGAGUAGUGAGAGCUCCUUCAUUCUUAAUACGUUCAUCUUUAGUAGUUAUGCUCACUCCCGACACAAGACAUAUGCUGGUGAUAAAAGAAGGAAACAAUAAGGUAGCAAUUUUGUGCUUUUUUAUAGCACACUCUCUAAUCUCUCUCGAUAGUUGUCCCAACAUCAAUUGGCAACCCUUUAACAAUAACAUAUAAAAGAAUCAACCUUUCCUGGGACACGGUGGUGGUGUGUGUUGUAGGCAUCAAUCUAGAUUUCAAAAACUUUACCCAAACUUUGGUAAUCGGUUUCAAAUCAAUCCUAUUUAUUACUCUACCUUCCUCAUUUCCUAAGAACUCCCAUCUACAGUAAGGAUUUUGAGCAUACUAUUCCAUUUCUUGGGGGUCAUGCUUCCAAUCAUUUUUGAGUACUCACAAUCAACAUUAGAAGGUAAAUUGUAAAAAGUAUUGAUUACUCUUGGGUCUAAAGAGACUUGAGUGUUCCUUACCCACAUUAUUCGUUGCUCUUACCCCAACAUUUUGGCAUAAAAUUCCUUGACAAUCGGCAGUAAAAGAUCCCUUGGAUGUUUAUAAAAUUCCAACUAGCCCAUUUUUGCUACAAUAAUGUGGAUAGUGUAGAUUAUUCCAGAAAGUUGUGGCGGGAAUUGGAACCCCUUUUGUUCUAAAAUGUUUCGUGGUUCGAUAAAUUCUUCAAACUUUUCUUCAGCUUUGUAGCCUUGGAAGCGUGAUGGAUUCUUUAGACGGCUUGCCAUCUUCUUGUAUCUCGUCAUUGCUGGAGCAGUUGAAAUAGAUUUGUUGGAUAACAAAGGCUUAAGCUGUAAAAAGAAUCAUGAAUUCUAAGGACUCUUGCUGAGAGAGGAGAAAAAUUUUGAGUUAAAUUCCAAUUGGUACAAUAAAACUCUAAUAUAUAAGUGAUGGUAAAAAUAGAAAUAAAAGAAAAAUUAAUUUACGGAGAUAAAAUUAGAAAUAAGAUUUUGAAGUUAAAACAUAUUCAAUUUAAAUAAGAAAAGGAUAUCAGUUCGGGAGUCUAGGGAUUAUGUAUUCCCUUCGCAUCUUUUUCUUGAUUUACUAAGCCAGUUGUAAAAAAUUUAUUCCCACUCAGUAAAAGAAAAUUUUCCAUAAUUGUGACACUGUAAUGGUAAGAAUUGUUGCUACAACUGAUAAUCUUGUCCUGCAGCACUAUCCAGUAAAGUUUCCCGUUUGAUAAGAAACACUGUCCACUAUCAUGUAAGGUGUAAUGCUAUAGCAACUUGUCUCAACUUCUUGGCCCACAAAUGUUUUUUUAAUAAUUAAAGUGCAGUGAAACAUGGAAAGAAAGUAAUUAAUCAAAAUGAGAUAACCAUAAAGAAAAAGAUGCAAAAAUUAAAUUUAAGGAAAAAAAAUCAAAUAACCUCCCUAAUUAUUGGGUUGCCUCCUAAUUAACGCUUGAUUUUAGGUCCUUCAGCCUGACCUUCCCUAAAUACUCAAAUUAGAUCGGUGAGGCUUACAUCAUCUAUUGAGUCAAACGAGACGUCAUCAAUGUAAUGUUUGAUUUGUUGACCAUUUACCAUAAAUUUCUAAUCAAUUUUUUCGUCCUUGAUUUCUACAGUACCGUGAGGAUAAAUGUUGAUAAGUCUAAAAGGUCUGCACUAUCUAGUUUUUAUUUUCCAGGGAAAAGUUUUAAUCUUGAAUUGUAAAGUAAAACUUGUUGGCUCAUAAUUAAAUUUCUUUGCCGAAUGUGCUUGUCGUGCCAUUGUUUUGUUUUUUCUUUGUAAAUCCCUGCAUUUUCAUAAGAGAACAACCUUAAUUUUUCAAGCUCACAAAGUUGGAAUUUUUGAUGCUCUGCUGCAGCAUGCAUGUCAAUGUUUAGUUGUUUUAAUGCCCAAUAUGCUUUGUGCUUUAGCUUUAAUGGAAAAUGGCAGGCUUUGCCAUAAACAAUUCUGUAUGAAGACAUGCCAGUGGUGUCUUGUAUGCUGUAUGGUAGGCCCAUAGUGAGUCAUGUAAUCUGAGUGACCAGUCCUUUCUAGUGGGUUCACUACUUUCUCCAAAAUCCUUUUGAUCUCUCAGUUGUACACUUCUGCUUGAUCAUUAGAUUAUGGGUGACAUGUUGUAGCAAUCUUGUGCUUAAUUCCAUACUUAACCAGUGCUGUAGCAAAUAUCAUAUUGCAAAAAUGAGUGCCUUCACCACUAAUGAUAGCUCUUGAAGUCCCAAACCUUGAGAAAAUAUUCUUUUGAAGGAAUUUCACCACGGCUUUAGCAUAAUUUGUUGGCAAUGCUAUAGCUUUCACCUAUUUGGACACAUAAUCUACAUCAACUGGAAUAUAUAAGUUUCCAAAAGAUGGUAGGAAGAGUCCCAUUAGGUCUAUCCCCCAUACAUUAAAGAGCUCCACAGCCAAAAUGCUUGUUAAUUGCAUUUCAUGCUUUUGAGAUAUGUUCCCUGUUCUUUGACACUUAUCAUUUGACAAACUCAUAAACAUAUUUAAAAAUAAAGGGCCGGUAAUAACUUGAUUAUAAAACUUUGGCAACUGUUCUAUAACCUCCAAAAUGUCCUCCAUAUGCUGCAGCAUGGCACGAAUAUAGUAUGUAUGGAAUUUCUUCAUCAGAUACACAUCUUUUAAUCAUAUGGUCUGAGCACAUCUUGUACAAGUAUGGCUCAUCCCACUGAUAGCUUCUGACAUCUUGGAAACAUAUCUUCUUAUGCUGAUAAUUCAAAUCAGGUGGUAACAGUCCACUCACCAAGUAAUUAACAAAAUCUGCAUACUAUAGGAGUCUAGAUUGCUGCAUCAUCUGUGCAUGCUGUAGUAUUAGUAGUUGGUCAUCAGGGAAUGUUUCUGUGAUGUCCUAUUUGGUCAAGGUGCUUGCAUCUGUUCUAGCCUUGAGAGAUGAUCUGCUACUUGGUUAUUGGUCCAUUUUCCAUCCUUGAUCUCUAAGUCAAACUCUUGUAGCAAGAGGAUCCACCUUAUCAAUAUUGGUUUGACAUCAUUCUUUGUAAUCAAAUACUUUAUUGCCUAAUACUCUUAUAGGCAGAGUUGAUUUUUAUACUGGAUUUUUUACUUCAUUUGGUCUUCUAACUAACUAAGGACUUGUUGUUGAGCCACUGUGGUGUAUUGAAUCAAGAGCAACCAAUCAUGUAACCAAAGAUGCAUGUAUUUUCACAUCUUAUUUUACUUAUCUUAGGACAGAUAAAUUGCAUAUAAGAAGUGGUAUGGGCUUAGAUAUUUAACAUAUUGGUUAUGCUAUGUUAAGUGCACUCUCUACAACAAAUAUUUAUCUUAGCAACAUCUUGCAUGUUCCUGCAAUCUCCAAAAACCUUUUAAGUGUCCUAAAAUUUUUGUUAACAAUAAUGUUCUUAUUGAAUUUCAUAAAACAUUUUGUUUUGUUAAAACCAAGAAAACAAGGACCAUUUUGCUUCAGGGGAUCGCUAAAGGAGAACUAUAUCAAGUUGAAGGUCUAACUGCAGUCUCUAAUGUUGUAGCUUCUAAUAAUAACAGGCCCAAUGUUUUGUUUGUCACCUCAAAAUCUACUUCCAGUUCCAACACUUUCUAGUGUCAAUGCUUAAUCACUUAAGAGUUUCAUAUUUUAUACACUCCUAUGGAAGGUUGACAAAUACAACUAUUAUUUAAUUCAAUAAUGAAGCCUUAAAAGUCUUGUUUGUUUUUUGUUCUAAGUUAGUUAACUAUAAGUUAGUUAACUAUAAUAUUUAUACACUCCUAUGGAAGGUUGACAAAUACAACUAUUAUUUAAUUCAAUAAUGAAGCCUUAAAAGUCUUGUUUGUUUUGCACAAGAUAAUGAGUCAUCCUACAGUUCAUGCUCUUAAACAAAUCACAAAAUAGAUCAAUUCUGAUUUUGAUGUGAAUAAUGAUAUCAAACUAGACUUCUGUAAUGCAUGUCAAUUUGGUAAAUAUCAUAUGCAUCUCUUUUCCUCCACAAAAACUACCACCAUUCAACCUUUAGAGUUUUUACAUGUUGAUUUAUGGGGAUGAGUGUUGAGUGUUAGAAAAUGCAUAUUUAUAAAGGAGAAAACCGUCAUUUUACAUUUCAAGUCUUACUAACAACCCUUACUUUUAUGUAUUUAACCUUCUUGUGAUGUAAUUACGUGUGUGUUAUUUUAAUUAAGUAUUUUAUGUAUUUUAGGGGCAUUAUAGUCAUUUCACAAUAAAGGAGAGAUCAGACGACAAAACGGACAUCACUUUUGAACUCAGGACGGUCGAAAACCUUAGGAGGGGCAUAAAAGGAAAAAUGGCACUAUUCACAUGUACGGUACUAUUCACGUGUACGGUACUGUCUACGUUACUGUUCACGACACUGUUCACGACACUGUUCACAUAGACGGAUCGAUGACGUGGCAUUGACCGAUGAUGUGGCAUUGACUGAUGAGGUGUCACGAUCCUGUUGGACUAAACUUCUUAUGUACUGUUGAUGGUGACGUGGCAGCAUAUCAGUGGACGAAAAAUCUCGCGUACGGUGCAUGCAUCACACAGGAUUAUUUUCAACCAAACUGCGUUACUGUUCAUCCGGGUCAAACCGUGUUACUGUUCAUCCACGUGGUCAAACCGUGGACUGUUGACUGAUGACGUGGCGCAAUCCUGAGCGUCCAAACUGUUUUUAAUCCGAUGGCCAUGAUUUACUCCAUGUAUCUAUAAAAAGGGGGCCUCCCCCCCCUAAUUUGAUAUCUCUGAAUCCAUUUUUGGGAUCCAUUUUCUGUAAUUCCCUCUCCAUCUUGUAUUUUCUUUGUAUUUUAAUAAAUUCCCAGUUUGCCCCUAGUUCAAUUAUGAGUAGCUAAUUUCCUUUCAAGCUUGGGUUGAAGGUGAAGUCUCAACAUGUGUCAUGGGCUUUAUUUGGUAAAUUUAUUUUCUUUUCCCCUCUAGGUUUUGUGGAUGAUUUGACUUAUCGUCGACAAAUAAUACUGAUCUUGUCUAGAUACCGCCUUGGUUACACCGGCUCUCUAGUAUAAGGUUAUUAUUAUUUGGCACGAUAAGCCCUUAGCACCAUAUUGAUUAGAGCGUGGUUCAUGAGGUGUGGAUUCCCCCCUCAUGAUUUAAUUGGCAUUAAUACGGAUUAUUUAGCCCAUGAUGCAUGUUGAUACGGAUCCAGAUACCCAAGUACGUUAUUUCAAUAGAUUUCUCUUCAAUUUACUCUCGCCAUUGCAAUUCCAGUCUUAGAAUUUAUUAUCGCCAUUUCAAUUCCAAUUUUAGGAUAAUUUAAAUCACUUCCACCACAAUUCCAACAACCCAUUUUGCAAAAUUAAUUCUAUACACAGUUAAAAUCCACCUCCUCGUGGGAUCGACACUCGUCACCAUUGAUCUACACUAUAAUAGAUUCGUGCGCUUGCGAGUUCAUUAAAAUUUGCACAACAAGUUUUUGGCGCCGUUGCCGGGGAGGUAAGUAAUUUUAAUUCAUAGAAUUAAUUUUUGUGAAUAAUUUAUUUUAAAUUGUUUUCUUGUAUUUUUUAUUAAAAAAAGAAAAAAAAAAGUGAAUCUGCAUUUAAAGGUUAGUAUUUCUUUUCUUUUUCUCUUCUUUAAAAUUUUGUAAUUUAAUUUUUAAUUUAUUUUUCUUUGUAAUUUUUGUUUAUCUUAUUAAUUUAAUUUUUAGUUAAUUUAUUUCACGUAUUUAUUUUUGUGUAUUUUUAUAGUAAGGUUGUAAUAGCGCAAUAAGGUUAGUAUCGUAAUUUCUCCCUCUUAUUUAUUUUUAUUUGUUUUGUUCCCAUCUUUAUUUUUAUUUUUAUUUUGCAUGCAUGGUCGUAGGUCAUUAUUACCUAAUCUUGAACCUAUAGACCUUGAAUUAGUAAAAACACUUCGCACACACAAACACGUUAAAAAUAAAAUGGAUUUACAAGCACCACAGGAGAGGCCAUUUAAGGACUAUUUUAGUCCCUUAGCUAAUUUGAGCACAUCAUGUAUAAGAUACCCAAAUGUAGCUGCUAGGAGCUUUGAACUAAAACCUAGUGUGCUAAAUUGUCUCCCCACAUUCUAUGGCCUAGAAAAUGAGGACCCAUAUAAUCAUCUGAAUGAUUUUCAUGCCAUUUGUCAAACUUUUAAAUAUGAAAAUUUUUCAGACGAUGAUGUUAAACUUAGAUUAUUCCCAUUUUCUUUAAAGGAUAGAGCUCGUUCAUGGUUAAAUACUUUGCCUGCUAAUAGCAUUGCAUCAUGGGAACAAAUGGUUACAAAAUUUCUAAAUAAAUAUUUCCCAGUGCAUAAAACCAAUUCUAUUCGCAGGGAAAUUUCAGAGUUUACACAAAGAGAGGACGAGCAGUUUUUCGAAACAUGGGAGCGAUUCAAUGGGCUACUCUUGAAGUGUCCACAUCAUGGGUACGAGAAAUGGCACCAAUGCCAAUACUUUUUGGAGGGAUUAUUGCCGAAUGUGCAAGAAUGGCUAAUGGCAACAAGUGGAGGAGAGCUAAUGUCAAAAAGUGCAUCAGAGAUUUGGGAAUUCUUCCAGCGACAAGCGGAUAAUUCCCAACAACGGAGUCGAUCACUCAGGAAUACUAGAAGGAUUAAAGGAGUGAAUGAGGUUCACAUUGGCGAGUCAACUUCGGGAAUCAAAGAAGUCAAGGAGAUGGUUGAAGGUCUUGCUCGACAAAUAGCAUCGUUGUCGACUGCUAAAUCAACAGAACCACAUGACCAUGACUCAUACUCCGAUCAAGCCAAUGCCAUAGGUGUAAUGAGAAAGCCAUCUAAUUACAACCCAUACUCCAACACAUAUAACCCUGGAUGGAGAGAUCACCCCAAUUUUUCAUGGUCUCAAGGAUUCCAACAGAAUGGACCAACAGCUCCAGCUCCACCACUGCAACAAAUUCCUCAAAAUCCUCAAGCCUCUCAGCCACCAUUCAGACCAUACAAUCAGAACCAGAACUACUCUCAACCCAGACCAUGGGAGGAUGCAUUCCAGAAUUUCAAGAAUGUUACUCACUCCACGAUUGAGCAACAGAAUCGCACCAUUGAUGGACUACGAAAUGAGUUGAGAGCGGGCUUCAACUCACAAGCUCAAUCAGUUUCAAGCCUCGAGAAGAUGGUGGGACAACUUGCUUCUUCAGUUCAGACCUUGGCAAUGACUGUUGAGAAAGGAAAAUUUCCAAGUCAACCAGUGCCUAAUCCUAAAGGAGUACAUGAAGCAAGUACCAGUUCACCACAACAGCAUGGAGAGGUCAAAGCAAUCAUGACCUUGCGAAAAGGAAAAGAAGUCGACAAUAAAGUGGAGAUGCCGGUGACAAAAGAAAAUCAAAUUGUACCUGUAAAUGCUGAGGACUCACCACCGGAGGAAAAAGAAGAAACCAACCCACGAGAAUACGUUCCCAAAGCUCCAUUUCCUCAGAGGUUAGUGAAAGGAAAGAAGGGAAAAUCCACAGGUGAGAUUCUCGAAAUCUUCAAACAGGUAAGUGUUAACAUCCCUUUACUUGAUGCUAUAAAGCAAGUUCCAUCUUAUGCCAAGUUUCUUAAAGACCUUUGUACUAAAAAGAGAAAUAUGCAUGUUCAAAAGAAGGCAUUUUUAACAGAAAACGUUAGUUCUAUACUCCAACAUAAAAUUCCUUUAAAAUGCAAAGACCCAGGCUCCCCCACUAUCUCAUGUAGCAUAGGGAACCACACAAUUGAGAAUGCUUUGUUGGAUUUAGGAGCUAGUGUAAAUCUGUUGCCUUAUUCAGUAUUCGUGAAACUUGGACUGGGAGAAUUACACCCAACUCCAGUGGUGUUACAGCUUGCAGAUCGGUCCACGAAAAUACCUCGUGGUAUUGUGGAGGACGUGCUUAUCCAGGUAGACAAGUUUUAUUUUCCUGUUGAUUUCAUUGUAAUUGACACUCAACCAAUACAGGAUUCAAGGAAGCACAUCCCCAUUAUUCUAGGCCAACCUUUCUUGGCGACUGCGGAUGCUCACAUUCAAUGCAGGACCGGAAAUAUGCAAUUGUCCUUCGGCAACAUGACUAUGGAGCUAAAUAUUUUCAACAUUGCCAAACAACCUCACAGUGCAGAUGAUGGAAUUGUUGAUGUGGAUUUAAUAGAAACAAUAGUCGAUAAUACUUUUAUUUCAAACCUUAGUGAUGAUCCUUUACAAACAUGUUUAACUCACUUUGGUUUGGAUUUUGAUAUUGACAGAUCGGUCGAUGAGGUCAACGCCCUACUUGACUCAGCACCAUCCAUGGACACUAAUAAAUGGAAGUCAAGAGUUGAACAACUAGCACCAUCAGAGAAGAAACUCAUCCCAUCAUCAGAAUCACCACCGAAACUCGAGCUCAAACCAUUACCCAACACUCUGGAAUAUGCAUUUUUGGGAGAAGAAAGUACUCUGCCGGUAAUCAUCUCAUCAUCCCUAAAUGACGAACAAAAAGGUAAGUUGUUGGAUGUUUUAAAAGAGCACAAAGGGGCAUUAGGAUGGACCAUAGCAGACAUAAAAGGUAUAAACCCAGUAGACUGCAUGCAUUACAUUCACCUUGAUGAAAAUGCUAAAUCUACUAGGGAAAUGCAACGUCGGUUAAAUCCUAAUAUGAAAGAAGUUGUUAGAACAGAAGUCCUUAAGCUAUUAGACGUAGGUAUCAUUUACCCAAUUUCUGAUAGUUCAUGGGUCAGUCCUGUACAAGUCGUCCCCAAAAAGUCAGGAGUCACAGUAGUUACCAAUGCUGAUAAUGAAUUGAUACCAACUAGAGUAACUACAGGAUGGCGUGUAUGCAUUGAUUAUAGAAAGUUGAAUUCUGUCACACGUAAAGACCAUUUUCCUUUACCAUUUAUCGAUCAAAUGCUUGAUAGAUUAGCAGGCCACGAAUUUUAUUGCUUUCUAGAUGGCUACUCAGGAUAUAAUCAGAUUCCCAUAGCACCAAAAGAUCAGGAGAAAACUACUUUCACUUGCCCUUUUGGCACUUUUGCAUAUAGGAGAAUGCCAUUUGGAUUAUGUAAUGCACCUGCUACAUUCCAACGAUGUAUGUUGAGCAUUUUUUCUGAUAUGGUUGAACGAUUCCUUGAAGUCUUUAUGGAUGAUUUUUCUGUCUUUGGUGACUCGUUUGAUCAAUGUUUACAUCAUCUAACGCUAGUUCUGCAGAGAUGUACCGAGAAGAACUUAGUCUUGAAUUGGGAGAAGUGCCAUUUUAUGGUAAAACAAGGUAUUGUUCUCGGUCACAUCAUUUCAAGCAAAGGUAUUGAGGUUGACAAAGCCAAGGUGGAUCUCAUUUCUAAUCUUCCUCCACCUAAAACAGUCAGAGAAGUAAGAUCUUUCCUUGGACAUGCUGGUUUUUAUAGACGUUUCAUUAAAGAUUUUAGCAAAGUUUCUAGACCCUUAUGCAAUUUACUUGCUAAGGAUGUACCUUUUAUCUUUAAUGAUUCAUGUCUUAUGGCUUUUGAAAAAUUAAAGCAAUUGUUGACAUCAUCACCCAUCAUUCAGGCCCCAAACUGGAACUUACCAUUUGAGCUCAUGUGUGAUGCAUCUGAUUAUGCAGUAGGAGCAGUAUUAGGACAAAGAGUUGAUCGAAUUCCCCACGUUAUUUACUAUGCUAGUAUGACAUUGAAUGAUGCACAGUUGAAUUAUUCAACUACUGAAAAAGAAAUGCUAGCAGUAGUGUUUGCAUUAGAGAAAUUUCGAUCUUAUCUCAUUGGUUGUAAAAUAAUUAUAUUCACAGAUCAUGCUGCUCUUAAAUAUCUUCUCACAAAGAAAGAUGCAAAAGCUAGACUAAUUCGUUGGGUGUUACUUUUGCAGGAAUUUGACUUGGAAUUCAAAGAUAAGAAAGGGACAGAAAAUGUUGUGGCGGACCACCUCUCUCGUCUCCAUUUUGACACAAUUACAGAGCCAUUAAUAUUAAAUGAGUCAUUUCCAGAUGAACAAUUAAUGAGUGUGGAAGUAUUACCUUGGUAUGCUGAUAUAGUUAAUUAUCUUGUUACAGGUAAAUUUCCAGAGCAUUGGACCAAGCAAGACAAGGCUAAAUUCUUUGCGGAAAUAAAGAAUUUCUUUUGGGAUGACCCAUAUUUGUUCAAGUAUUGUGCAGACCAAAUUGUUAGACGAUGUGUCCCUGAAAGUGAAAUUCAGAAUAUCCUUUCAUUCUGCCAUGAACAAGCUUGUGGAGGCCAUUUCAGUGCUAAGAAAACAGCGACUAAAGUUUUACAAUGUGGUUUCUAUUGGCCAACUAUAUUUCGAGAUGCUUACACUUUCUGUUCUUCAUGUGAUAGGUGUCAACGAAUGGGGAGCAUUACACGAAGGAACAUGAUGCCACUAAAUCCAAUUUUAGUGGUUGAGAUUUUUGACGUAUGGGGUAUUGACUUCAUAGGACCCUUUCCCCCUUCUUUUGGCCAUCAAUACAUAUUGGUUGGUGUUGACUACGUCUCAAAAUGGGUAGAAGCAAUUCCAUGUAGAACCAAUGAUCACAAAGUGGUGAUAGGAUUUUUGAAAAGCAACAUUGUCUCGCGCUUUGGAUUCCCUCGAGCGAUAAUUAGUGAUGGUGGUGCCCACUUUUGUAACAAAGCAUUCAAAGCUCUUUUGACAAAGUAUUCAAUCACACACAAAGUGGCAACCCCGUAUCAUCCGCAAACCAGUGGCUAAGUUGAGAUCUCCAAUCGAGAAAUCAAGCACAUAUUAGAAAAAACGGUGAGGCCAGACAGAAAAGAUUGGUCAUUAAGACUUGAUGAUGCAUUAUGGGCAUAUAGAACGGCUUUCAAGACCCCGAUUGGGAUGUCACCCUACAGGCUAGUGUAUGGAAAAGCUUGCCACCUACCUGUGGAACUCGAGCAUCGUGCAUAUUGGGCCAUCAAGAAAUUCAACUUUGACAUGCAGCAAGCCAGCUCAGAAAGAAGAUUACAGCUGACAGAACUUGAAGAAAUUCGCAAUGAUGCAUACGAAAAUGCCAAGAUUUACAAGCAACGAAUGAAAGUCUUCCAUGAUAAGCACAUUAUGAGAAAAUCGUUCACUCCAGGUCAGAAAGUGCUUUUAUUCAAUUCUCGCUUGCACAUAUUCCCAGGUAAGUUACGCUCUCGAUGGUCUGGUCCCUUUAUUGUUCAUACUGUUUUUCCACAUGGGGCAAUUGAAAUUAAGGACCCAAAGAAUGGUGUCACGUUUAAAGUUAAUGGUCAAAGAUUAAAGCCAUAUCUAGAAUACCAACCACAUGGAGAAGACACCGAAAUAAAUUUGAGUGACCCACCAAAUUUGAAUUGAUUUUUUUUUUCUUCUUUUCGUUGAUUUGAUUUUUCUUUAUUUCUUUUUAUUAUUAUUCUUUUGCUAAUUGAAAUUGUUUUUGCAUAAGUGUGUUUAUUUUACCAUUAAGUUUUCUCUUAUCAUUUUUAAUCAUGAGUACCUUGCUUAGACCGUUCCUCCUGAACAUUCUUAAACCACUUCAACGUGUCAAAACUCAUCUCAAAAAGCAGAUUCUAUUUUGUAAAACACAUCGCAUUUGGGCUCUACAACCACCAGAGUUAGUAGCCUAUGUUGAGGGUUUAGAACGCCAACUCAGAGACAUUGAGAGAAGUGUUUACGACAUCCAGUUGGAGCUUGAGGUAAAUUCAAUAAGAGGACGAUUUUAAUUUUCUUUGUGUGUUUUAAUUUGUUUUUCUGUUUGUGUGCUUUAGUUUGUUACCCCGGUGAAGUGGCGGAUAACGGUACUCCGUGACAAUCAAGUCGGUUACUUCAGUUUCCCAUAAUAACUGACAUUCUGAGGCGAAAGUAUGGACAGAAACGAGAUUCUAGCGAAGCUUCACAAGCGAUUCCCUUCACUUCCUCAGAAUGCCCUCUUUACGAUCUAUAAAGCUCGGUCCGAACGCAUGCGAUUACUCAUGAAGAAUAACAUACCUGCUGACAUCCGUUGGUUAAUCGAGGCUAAAGUACGAUCGGCAGGUGAGUUACCUCCAAGAUUUAUUGCAUUCAUGCCUGGUUGUGGUAAAGGAAAUUAUGCAAGAAAACGACGAGCUCGAAGAAUUUCUGUUGCUUGUCAUAAGUGUGCCAGAAUGAGUUGCGAUAGAAACCCAUGUUCUUUAGGAAUAGUGUCUGAUAACAGGGAAGAUAAGAUUCAAUUCAUUAGGGAUGGCUUGAAUAAGGAGUCAUUGGAUGAUAUCCUUUUGUCUCUUGAAACGCAUCCCAGUGGAUAUGUGCAAGGAGCGAUUCUCCGGUUAUGGCCAUUAUUCCAGAAAGAGCAUGCACGAUAUAGUCUCGGGAAUCUGACUAUAAACGACCCUGUUUGUCAGUUUAUAAGAAAACUGGAUGGGAAGCCGAUCCUCGACCCAUAGAGGGCGUUCAAGCCGUUUCUGGACGUAAAACCAGAGGAAGAUGUGAGCCACAGUCGCAACUAUGUGUACAUAUCCUUUUACUUUACUGUUAUUUUAUUUCAUUUCACUGUUGUUUUAUUGUUUGCAUUAUUGUCUUUAAUAAUUUUAUUACUGUUUGCUUUUUCCUUUUUACUGUUUCCUUUUUGACUCGCGAGCCAUGUGCUUCACGCGUUAUUUGACACUGACAUGUUACCUCAUUCACAACUGUGACCCACUAUCACCAAGACUCUUAAAUGUGAUUUCUUUUGUCAAAUACUCACAAAUUAUUUUUGAGAAAUAUUCCAAUGGCAGCUACUCCCAAUAGACAAUUCAAGAACAUUUGUGUGCUUUCUGGAUUUACCUAUGGCAAACAUAAAGAGUUCGUGGAGGCAGCCAUAGAUCUUGGUCGAAGCAUAGCAGCGAGAAAAUUACACUUGGUGUAUGGAGGAGGUAACCGAGGGUUAUCAAAAAUGGUCUCAGAAGCAGCUUUUAUCAGAGGAAGUCAAGUGUUAGGCAUCAUCCCAAGAGUCCUAAAACCAUUGGGCAGUUCGUCUGACUCAUCCACUGGAGAAGAGUUAGUCGUCUCAGGUAUGCAAGAAAGAAUAACUGAAAUGCUUAAUCAUGCUGAUGCUUUUAUUUUCCUUCCAGGAGAUCUUGCAACACUAGAGGCACUUAUGACACUAGCAUCUUGGGCCCAUCUGCACAUCCACCAGAAACCUAUCGGUUUGUUAAAUGUCAAUAACUUUUAUGAUGGCUUUAUCGCAUUUCUUAACCAUGCAAUAAAAAACUAUUUCAUUCCUUCUAAUGUGAAAAAACUCUUUAUUUGUGCUCACACUGCUAAUGAGCUACUUGAUAUGUUACAAGCUUAUAAACCGGAGCCAGACCCCUGGACCUUUGUGUUGGAGCGACCAAAUAAUGAUAGUAACAGUAGCCGCAGUAAGAAGUACAAAUUAGAUUUAACUCUCCGCCUGUAAAUAUUUUCUUCUGUGUUGCACCACCCAGGUGAUGUCUUCUAAACUCUACUUCUUUCCUUUAAAACAUUGAGGACAAUGUUUCGUUCUGGUUGGGGGGAGGGAAUAGUCGACAAUUGUGGAAUCUUGGUUAAGUUUUUACUGAUUUUUUGUUGUAGAAACUAACUGUUGCUAACAUUUUAUGUUGAAGAUGGCUGAAUAUGGAGUGUAGUUACUCUAGAAACGCAUCUUCAUCGUUUAAAAAAAAAAAAAAAAAAAACCGUUUUCUUCCUCUUUCUCCUUUAUAAAUAUAUAUUUUCAAAUUUUUGAGUCGAAGAUGGCUGAAUAUGGAGUGUAGUGCCUCUAGAAACGCAUCUUCUUAGUUAAAAAAAAAAAAAAAUUCUUUUUCUAAUUAAUUUUUUCUACAUCAUUUUCACAUUUCUGCAUGCAUAUUUUCCUUUCAUGUUUAGAAUAGGUUGGGGGUAGAAUGUUGUUUAAAAAAAAAAAAAAAUUGUGUUAUUUGUUUUAACAUUGGAUGACAUGAUUAAUUUCAAAUUUUAGUAUUUGUAUUAUCUUUGGUCUUAAGUGAUGUUACGCUAUGUUUGCUACUUUACAUGUUGAUGUCGGAGACAAAUAUGAGUUGCUUGAAGGAAUGAACAUGUCAUAAAUAAGUGCCAAGUGAGUUGUUGCGCCUAUCAUUUUCUUGGAGAGUAACCCUUUUGCCCAUUCUCUAUACAGCUUAGCAGUUUAUUAUUUUAUACACGAUCUCUAGAUUUCUUUUAAGUUAACCCUUUAAAAAAAAUAUAUGGUAAAAUUAAAAAAAAGAAAAAAGAAAAAAAUGUGUGUUGCUACAUUGGGAGGCCCAUCUAACUAGUAGAUAUGGAUAAUUAUUUAGAGCCCUAAAAGACGAUGGAAAGGCCAUCUUUGAUCCGUUUGAGCCUUUCUAGCCAUCCCUUUUAUUAAAUAUCCAUAGUUACCCCUUUUGAGCCUUUAAAAAAAAAAAAAAAGAACAAAAACCUUUUCUUUGUCAACUUAUCAUCUUGACCCACUCCGAUUUGGAGUAUUACCCAAUGUCUUUUAAGUUCCAUCACCUAUUUAUGUUUGAGAAAAUGUAAAUAAUUAUGUUGUUCAGUGAAGUUAUGCCAAAUAAAAGCAAAAAGAAAAAAGAAAAAACAAAAACAAAAGUUGUUGUUUUAAAAGAAUAAAAAUAACAAUAAUAGGUGAAAUCCACCUUGCAAGUUCCAAAAAAAAAAAAAAAAAUUCUGCAUUUUUCUCAAACAUACACUUUGUUUUCCUUAUUUCCUUUCUUUGUUAGCCAUAUCCCUAGCCUACGUUACGUCCUAAUAAAAGUCCUUCUUGAUUUUAGGGAACUAUAGUUUGAAGUAGAAGCUAGUUAUAUGGGCUAAAAAGAUGUAGUGAUGCAUAAUAAAAAAAAAGAUAAAUAAAGUGGGUUGACUAACAUUUUAUUUGACUUGAGAUCGUAUUAUUUCUAAGCUGAGGGCAUAUUUAUUUCAUCUUGGUGAGAGCAUGUGAUAUCAUUUCUUUAUUAUUUUCUCUCUCAAUUACCAUUCAUUGGAGUGACUAUGUUUAUUGGGUUUUAAUUUCUUUGUGAGAGUGUCACUACUUCCAGUGAGAUUUUGGGGUUUGACAUGUCAUUCUUGAAAGUAGCUAUAACAAAGUCUACUGGGCUAAUUCAUGUGGAUGGUUGAUGUGGGUGUGAUGUUGCUUUAGACUGAAGAUAAUGCUUAUACUUUUAUUUGAUUGCUAUCAUUAAUCUGAUUGAAUAAACACGAGUGUUUCCAAAAAAAAAAAAAAAAAAAAAUCAUUUUGAAUUUGAAUUUUGUUUUCGCAUUAUUUGCUAGGGACUAGCAAUAAGCUGGUUGGGGGGUGUGUUGAGUGUUAGAAAAUGCAUAUUUAUAAAGGAGAAAACCGUCAUUUUACAUUUCAAGUCUUACUAACAACCCUUACUUUUAUGUAUUUAACCUUCUUGUGAUGUAAUUACGUGUGUGUUAUUUUAAUUAAGUAUUUUAUGUAUUUUAGGGGCAUUAUAGUCAUUUCACAAUAAAGGAGAGAUCAGACGACAAAACGGACAUCACUUUUGAACUCAGGACGGUCGAAAACCUUAGGAGGGGCAUAAAAGGAAAAAUGGCACUAUUCACAUGUACGGUACUAUUCACGUGUACGGUACUGUCUACGUUACUGUUCACGACACUGUUCACAUAGACGGAUCGAUGACGUGGCAUUGACCGAUGAUGUGGCAUUGACUGAUGAGGUGUCACGAUCCUGUUGGACUAAACUUCUUAUGUACUGUUGAUGGUGACGUGGCAGCAUAUCAGUGGACGAAAAAUCUCGCGUACGGUGCAUGCAUCACACAGGAUUAUUUUCAACCAAACCGCGUUACUGUUCAUCCGGGUCAAACCGUGUUACUGUUCAUCCGCGUGGUCAAACCGUGGACUGUUGACUGAUGACGUGGCGCAAUCCUGAGCGUCCAAACUGUUUUUAAUCCGAUGGCCAUGAUUUACUCCAUGUAUCUAUAAAAAGGGGGCCUCCCCCCCUAAUUUGAUAUCUCUGAAUCCAUUUUUGGGAUCCAUUUUCUGUAAUUCCCUCUCCAUCUUGUAUUUUCUUUGUAUUUUAAUAAAUUCCCAGUUUGCCCCUAGUUCAAUUAUGAGUAGCUAAUUUCCUUUCAAGCUUGGGUUGAAGGUGAAGUCUCAACAUGUGUCAUGAGCUUUAUUUGGUAAAUUUAUUUUCUUUUCCCCUCUAGUUUUUGUGGAUGAUUUGACUUAUCGUCGACAAAUAAUACUGAUCUUGUCUAGAUACCGCCUUGGUUACACCGGCUCUCUAGUAUAAGGUUAUUAUUAUUUGGCACGAUAAGCCCUUAGCACCAUAUUGAUUAGAGCGUGGUUCAUGAGGUGUGGAUUCCCCCCUCAUGAUUUAAUUGGCAUUAAUACGGAUUAUUUAGCCCAUGAUGCAUGUUGAUACGGAUCCAGAUACCCAAGUACGUUAUUUCAAUAGAUUUCUCUUCAAUUUACUCUCGCCAUUGCAAUUCCAGUCUUAGAAUUUAUUAUCACCAUUUCAAUUCCAGUUUUAGGAUAAUUUAAAUCACUUCCACCACAAUUCCAACAACCCAUUUUGCAAAAUUAAUUCUAUACACAGUUAAAAUCCACCUCCUCGUGGGAUCGACACUCGUCACCAUUGAUCUACACUACAAUAGAUUCGUGCGCUUGCGAGUUCAUUAAAAUUUGCACAACAAUGAGCUCCACUCUUAUCUUCUCUAGACUAUCAAUAUUACCUAUUUACCGUAGAUGACUUCACUAGAUUCACUUGGAUAUGUCCUCCUACUGUUAAAUCCAAAGCUUUAUAAUCUUUUGCUAAAUUUCAACACAUGAUAGAGAACAAUCUUAAUACUAAGAUCAAAUAUCUUCAAAUAUAUUGGAGAGGAGAGUUUAGAUCAUUUACAUGUGAUCUUAUUGAAUAAUGAAUACAAUCUAGGCAUCUUUGCAUUCACCAUCAAAAUAAAAUUUUGGAGUCAGUACUUACACUUGUAGUAUAACCACACUUAUCAUUAAAAUUUUGGUGGCAUACUUUUCAUACUACCACUUAUCUCAUUAAUAAACUUCCUACCCCUGUUUUAGGUAACAAAUCAACUAUUAUGUAGAAAGAAACCUAAUUAUUCUGUCAUGAAAUUGUUUAGAUGUGCUUGUUUUCCUUAUUUCAAAGCAUACAGUCAUAAUAAAACUUGAGUUCAGAAUAAGUAGAUUAUAUUUCUUGGUUAAAAUUCACUUCAUAAAGGUUAUUUGUGUCUUCAUUCUUGAAGAAGAAUCUAUAUUAGUAAUCAUGUUGUCUUUGAUGAUCCUUGCUUUCCUUUUGAAUCCAGAGUUGAUUUUUUUUUUUUUUAGUUGAUGCCUCUUGUCUCUCUUCAUGUUCAAAAUGUCACUUAUUAGGAAAAUUUUAUUGAACUCGCAUGUGCACGAAUCUAUUGUAGAAUAGAUCGAUGGUGACAAGUGUCGAUCCCACGAUGAGGUGAAUUUUAAUUGUGUGUGGAAAUAAUUUUCUAAGUAGGUAGUUGGAUUUGUGGUGGAAGUGAUUUAGAUCAUCCUAAAAUUUAAAUGAAAAUGGUGGGAAUCAAUUAAAGUGAAAACUAUUAAAAUAAAGUGCUUUGGUCUCUGGAUCUGCACUCAACAUGCACCAUUGGUUUAAUAUUCCUUAUUAGUGUCAAUUAAAUCAUGAGGGGAGUUUCCACUCCUCAUGAACCACACUCUAAUAAAUAUGGUGCUAAGGGCUUAUCGUGUCAAAUAAUAAUAGCCUUGUACUAUGGAAACGGUUAACCAGUGCAAUAUUUAGGCAAGAUUAUUACUAUUUGUCGACGAAAAAUCAAAAUAUCCACAUAAUUCAGAGGGGAAGAGAAAGUAAAUUUACCAAAUUAAGCCCAUAAAACAUGUUGAGGCUUCACCUUUAACCCAAGCUUGAAAGAAAAUUAACUACUCAUAAUUGAACUAGGGGUAAAAUAGAAAUUUAUUAAAAUACGUAGAAAAUACAAGAUAGAGAAGGAAUUACAGAAAAUAGAGCUCAAAAAUGGAUUCAGGGGUCUCAAAUUAGGGGGGAGCCCCUUAUUUAUAGAUACAAUCAGUAAAUCAUGGCUAUUGAAUUAAAACAAUUUGGACGCUAAGGAUUGCGACACUUGGCAAGUUCUGAUUGGAUGGAACACGUCAUCAAGGUUGUCAUUCCCUGUAUAUGCAUGUAUCAUACGCGCGUUUUUCGAUCCAUUAACAUACUACCACGUCACUAGUCAACUCUUUAGUCCAAUAAGAUCGUGACACAUCAUCGGUCAACGCCAAGUCAUUAAUCAACGCCACAUAAGCAGUCAAUGCCACAUCAUUCAUCCAAUAGAAUGCCACCACGUCAUUGGUUAGUGCCACAUCAUUAGUCAAUGCCACAUUAUCGUACUGUAUAUGUGAACAGUGUCGUGAACAGUACCGUACAUGUGAACAAUGUCGUUUAUCCUUUUAUGCUUUUUUUAAGGUUUUCGACUGUCCUGAGUUCAGAAUUGUUAUCCAUUUUGCUAUCUGAUCUCUCGUUCAUUGUGAAAUGACCAUGAUGCCUCUAAAAUACAUAAAAUAUUUAAUUAUAAUAAAACACACAUAAUUAAAUCACAAGGGACUUAAAUACAUAAAAGUAAGGAAGUUAGUGAGACUUUGAGUGUAAAAUGACGAUUUUCUCUUUUAUAAAUAUACACUUUCUAGCACUCAACAACACUCUCAUUCUUUAUUUCCAAAUGAAUCUUCUUCUUCUCCUAAAAUUCAACUGAUGUGUACAAAUCUCAAUCUUCAAUAACAAAUGUCCUCCACUUUCUCUUAUACCUCCACAAUAGUCCAUCCACUCACUUUUACCUUCACUUUUGCUUGUUGUCUCUCUAUAUAUAGAAUAAACAUCUUCACCAGUUCAUUAAUUAACUCAUCCACAAUCACUAUCUAUCUGUUAGCCUAAAGGGCUACUCAUAAUGUAAUUUUUAUGAUAACAAACAUAUGUAUUAAGUGAUUAAAUAGAUAUUGUAUUUCACAUUUUCACUAGUUUUUGAAGGGUAAUAUUUAUGCAAGUGAAUCAAGUGAAAUCAAGGUCAAGACACUCAACGGACAAACGGCGAAACCAAGAAUAAAGUUUAGAGCUCAACGAAUAAAUUAGUGCGAUAAAUUCUUGUAAAGCCGGUAUGAUUUAAUUGAUGCAUGAUUUAGCAUUUGAGAAGCUCAAGAGAUUAAUUUAAUUAAAUACUUUUCAUAAACUAAAAUGUUUUAUUUUUAUAAAGUAAAGUAUUUUGUGGAUUUAAGUAAUUUGGACUUAAAUGCUAAGAUUUGAAAUCUUUGAUUUUAAUAAGUAUUAAAUUUCGGAGUUGUAAGUUUUUAUAAACAUUUGAAAUGUUUUGGGCCACACUAUAAUUUAUGAAUAUUUUGGACUAAAGUGAAAGGUUUUGAGAACUUUGAAAAAUAUGGGUAAAAUGACCUUUGUGCGACAUAAUAAAAUCUUUGGGGCCAUAUCAUAAUUUCAGUAAGUUUGGGGAAGACAACUAUUCUUAUGAAGUUUUGAAAUUGGACCUAUUUGCAAAGUUUUAUGACGUUUUGGGCCAUAGUAUAAUUAUAGAAAUAUCACUGUUCCUGAGCGGCUAGCCGGAUAAUCAAGCGGCUAACCGCUUGGGCGCGGGAAUUUACCUAUAACGACUAGUUUUUGGGCUUUCACUAUAAAAACUCAACUUAAACUUCAUUGUAAGAACCAAUGCAAGCAAAUAUAAGAUCAUACAACAUAUAUUGAGCUUCCAAAACGCAAAUCAUCAUAGAUUGAAUCAUUGUGAGCUAUUAUUUGCAUAUCCACUCUUAAAGAGAGUUUUUGUUGUAAUUUUCAUUUCUUAUCAAAUUAUGAGUGUAUGAGUGUGAGAAACACUUAGGGUAAAGAGAUUGGGGAGAUAAUCUCUUGAUUGUAAAGGUUCAUUGACACUUUGUAAGUCAAUUGUAAGAACUUGAAGCCUUGGGAGGCUUGGAUAGUGAAAUCCUCGAGCUUGGUUGGCUUGGAGGCGUGGACGUAGGCGGGGAUUGCCGAACCACGUAAAAAUCUGUGUGUUUGUUUUUCUCUUCCCUUACUCUUUUAUUUUUACGCUUGUUUGAAUUUAUUGUUUUCUAUUUCAUUAAGGCGUUAGAUUAAUUUGUUGAGCGAAUUGUAUUGCAUAAUUUUUAAAAUCCCAAUUCACCCCCCCUCUUGAGUUGCGUUACUUGUAUUUCAUUUGGUAUCAGAGCUUGGUUCUCUUGUUAGGACUUAACCGUCUAGAGUAAAAGAUCCAUGGCAACCCAAAAUGAUUCAACCUUUAGGGAAGGACAAUCCACAACUAGGCCACCAUUCUUUGAUGGAAAUGACUACCCGUAUUGGAAAACUAGGAUGAAAAUUUAUUUACAAGCACUAGAUUAUGAAAUUUGGGAAGUUGUAUGUGAUGAUCCAUUUAUGCCUUUGACUAAAAAUGAAUUCGGGGAAGACAUUCCAAAACCUUCACGGGAAUGGAAUGAAUUGGAAAAGAGAAAAGCUUCUCUAAAUUCCAAAGCCAUGAAUGCUUUGUUUUGUGCACUCGAUAAGAAAGAGUUUCAUAGAGUGUCUAGUUGUGAAAGUGCUAAUGAAAUUUGGCACAAACUUGAAGUUGUUUAUGAAGGCACGAAUCAAGUGAAAGAGUCUAAAAUUAGUAGGUACACUCGGCAAUAUGAAUUGUUCCAAAUGGAAUAAAAUGAGAGUGUGUAUUCUAUGUAUACUAGAUUCACGGACAUAGUAAACACUCUAGGAGCCCUAGGAAAGACCUUUUCAAAUAGCGAGAAAGUUAAGAAAAUCAUUAGGUCAUUACCUAAGGAAUGGAGACCAAAAAGGACUGCCAAUGAGGAAGCUAAAGAUUUGAAUAUCUUACCUAUUGAUGAUUUAAUUGGUUCUCUUAUUUCUUAUGAGGAAGAUUUGGCAGCCGAAAGAGGACAUAAGGAAAAGAAGAAAAUCAUUACACUCAAAGCCAUAAAAUAUGAGAGUGAUGGAGAAAGUGAGCCGGAUGAUGAGGAGUUGGCUAUGCUAGCAAGGAGGUUCAGAAAAUUUUUCAAGAAAACCGGUGACCAAAGAAAAUUUAGAAACUUCAAAAACCAAAAGGAGAAGAAAGAGGUAAUCAUAUGCUAUGAAUGCAAAAAGCCCGGCCAUAUAAGAUCGGAAUGCCCACUUCUCAACAAACUCAAGAAGAAAGCUAUGGUUGCUACUUGGGAUGAUAGCGAUGAAGAAGAAUCGCAAGAAGUAUCAAACCUAGCACUUAUGGCAAUAGGAGAUGAUGAUGAUCUCAAUGAGGUAAGUGAUCCAACCUAUGAUGAAUUAUAUGAUGCUUUUAAAGAAAUACAUGAUGAGUUAAUGAAAAUUGGUAAAAAGAAUACAUGCCUUAAAAAGAAAUUGCUAGAAUUUACAAAUGAAAAGGAUGCCAUGCAAAAAUGCAAUGAGUCAUUGAAUGAGAAGAUUAAAGGAUUAGAAUUAGAGAAUAAAACCUUGUAUAAUAGAGUUGCAUUAUCAAAUGAAAAACCUAACACUUCACAUGAGCAUUUAGAGUCACAUGUAGAUGAUUUGAAAAAGGAAAAUGAAAUGCUCAAGAAAAAUAAUAUUGAACUUAGUAAUGUUGUUCUAAAAUUUACAAAUGGGUAAAAGAUGUUGGAUAACAUGCUUAACUCUCAAAAAUGUGUUUUUGAUAAAGGAGGACUUGGGUAUAAGCCUAACUUGAAGUAUUAUAAGAAUUAUUUUGUUAAAGCUACCUCCACAAGUGAUCAUAAGAUUGUUUGUCAUUAUUGUAAUCAAAAUGGUCACAUGAAAUAUAGAUGUCCCGUGAAAAGGAAUGCAUAUUAUGGUGUCAAAUGUAUUUGGGUUCCAAAAGGAACCGUUGCUAACGCUCAAGGACCCAAAAACGUUUGGGUACCUAAGACAUAAGAUUUUCUUUGCAGGGCUUGAAGAAAAAGAAAAAUAAAUGGUACUUGGAUAGCGGAUGUUCUAGGCAUAUGACCGAAAACUAUGCAUGGUUCUCAAGUUUUACCAAAAUCGAAAAUGGUAGAGAUGUAUCCUUUGGAGAUAACUCAAAAGGAAAAAUUCUCGGAAUUGGUAAUGUUGGUAAAGUUUCUUCAACUCUUAUUGAAAAUGUGUGUUUGGUUGAAAAUUUGAAACACAAUUUGAUUAGCAUUAGUCAACUAUGUGACAAAGGUUAUAAAGUUGCUUUUGAUAAAUCAAGAUGUGUUAUUGAGAAUGCAUGUGAUGGGAAAAUUUUGUUUAUGGGAAAUAGAUGUGGCAAUGUUUACACGAUUGAUAUAGAGUGUGCAUCUACUCAUGAUAAAUGUUUUUCGGCAUUGCAUGAUGAUGGUUGGUUAUGGCAUAGAAGACUAGGACAUGCAAGCAUGGAUUUAAUUUCAAAAAUUUUGAAAAAUGAUUUAGUUAAAGGUCUUCCAAAAAUUAGUUUUCAAAAGGAUAGAAUUUGUUAAGCUUGUCAAUUUGGAAAACAAAUCAAAACUUCUUUAAAAAACAAGAAUCAUAUCUCUACUUCAAAACCUCUUCAAUUACUUCACAUAGAUUUGUUUGGACCUUCUAGAUAUGUUAGUUUAAGUGGCAAAUUCUAUGCAUUUGUAAUUGUAUAUGAUUAUUCUAGAUACACAUGGGUAUUAUUCUUAACUAAUAAGGAUGAUGCCAUUGAUGCAUUUAGAAUUUUCUGUAAAAAUGUUCAAAAUGAAAAUGGUUAUUCUAUUACUUGUAUUAGAAGUGAUCAUGGUGGAGAGAUUGAAAAUCAUGCAUUUGAAAAUUUUUAUAAUGAUUUUGGCAUUGAGCAUCAAUUUUCAUCACCUAGGACUCCACAACAAAAUGGAGUUGUUGAGAGAAAGAAUAGGUCUAUUCAAGAAAUGGCUAGGACCAUGUUAAAUGAAAAUGCAUUACCAAAAUAGUUUUGGGCCGAAGCCGUCAACACCGCUUGUUAUGUUUUAAAUCGAGUGUUGAUUAGAUCUCAUCUCAAUAAAACUCCCUAUAAGCUUUGGAAAGAUAGAAAACCCAAUAUUGGUUAUUUCAAAGUUUUUGGAUGCAAAUGUUUUAUUUUUAACACAAAAGAUAAUCUUGGUAAAUUUGAUCCAAAAUCUGAUGUUGGCAUCUUUCUCGGGUAUUCAAACUCAAGCAAAACUUAUAGAGUUUAUAAUAAAAGAACUUUAGUUGUGGAAGAAUCCAUGCAUGUUAUGUUUGAUGAAUCUAACCCCUCAUUUGCGGAGAAAUGAGUUGUUAAUGAUGAUGCAGAUGGAGAGUUACAAGAAGAAUUAUCAAAAGAGAAUCAAGAGCAUGCACCACAAGAAAAUCAAGAGGAUAGACAAGAAGAACAAACAAAUAUGAAGCUAGAGCAAUAAGAAGGUAGUUCUCAAACACUCCCCAAGGAGUGGAGGUAUGUUUCCUCUCAUCCUAAGGAUUUAAUAUUAGGUGAUCCUUCAAGAGGUAUAACAACUAGAUCAUCACUUAGAAACACAUGUGAGCAUGCUUCAUUUAUUUCUCAAAUUGAACCAAAAUCUUUUGCGGAUGCGGAAAAUGAUGAGUUUUGGAUUAUGGCAAUGCAAGAGGAGUUAAAUCAAUUUGAGAGAAAUAAAGUAUGGGAAUUGGUUCCUAAACCGGAACAUCAAUCCAUUAUAGGAAUGGGUAUUUAGAAAUAAAAUGGAUGAAUCCGGUGUGGUUGUAAGAAAUAAAGCUAGAUUAGUGGCUCAAGGAUACAACCAAGAAGAAGGAAUCGAUUUUGAUGAAACAUUUGCACCUGUAGCAAGAUUAGAAUCCAUUAGGAUGUUGUUAGCAUUUGCAUGUCAUAAAGAUUUUAUUUUAUUUCAAAUGGAUGUCAAGAGUGCUUUCCUAAAUGGUUAUAUUAUGGAGGAAGUUUAUGUGAAACAACCCCCUGGUUUCGAAAAUGAGAAAUUUUCAAAUCAUGUGUAUAAGUUAUCAAAAGCAUUGUAUGGAUUAAAACAAGCACCUAGAGCAUGGUAUGAUAGGCUUAAAAAUUUCUUGUUGGAUAACGAUUUUUCGAUGGGAAGAGCGGAUACUACCCUCUUUAUUAAAAAUAAAAAUCAAGAUAUACUUGUUGUUCAAAUUUAUGUUGAUGAUAUUAUUUUUGGUUUUGCUAAUGAAUCUUUGUGCAAAAAAUUUUCCUCUUGUAUGAGUAAGGAAUUUGAGAUGAGCAUGAUGGGAGAAUUGAAGUAUUUUCUUGGACUUCAAAUCAAACAAAACAAUGAGGGGAUCUUCAUCAACCAAGCUAAGUACGUCAAAGACUUGCUCAAGAGAUUUGGUAUUGAUGAAUCAAAUACCAAGAAUACUCCAAUGAGUACAACAAUCAAGCUUGAUAAAGAUGAAAAAGGUAAAGAGGUUGAUAUUAAAAAGUAUCGAGGUAUGAUCGGAUCCUUACUUUACGUAACCGCAAGUAGACCCGAUAUCAUGUUUAGUGUAUGUUUUUGUGCACGAUUUCAAUCAUGUCCCAAGGAAUCUCAUUUGCUUGCUGUUAAAAGAAUUUUUCGUUAUUUGAGUGGAACCAUAGAUAUUGGCCUUUGGUAUCCUAGAGAAACUCAUAUAGAUUUAACUUGUUAUUCGGAUGCCGAUUUUGCUGGUCACAAGGUCGAUAAGAAGAGUACUAGUGGAACUUGCCAUUUUCUUGAUCAUUCACUUGUUUCAUAGUUUAGUAAGAAACAAAAUUCAGUGGCACUCUCAACUAUUGAGGCGGAAUAUAUUGCCGCAGGUAGUUGUUGUGCACAAGCACUUUGGAUGAAACAAACACUUAGAGACUAUGGUAUUUAUCUUGAACAAAUUCCUAUCAAGUGUAAUAAUACUAGCGUCAUGAAUCUUUCAAAGAAUCCCAUUCAACAUUCUAGAACCAAGCAUAUAGAGAUUAGGCAUCAUUUCUUGAGAGAUCAUGUUCAAAAAGGUGAUAUUGCAUUAGAAUUUAUCUCUACGGAAAAACAACUUGCCGAUAUUUUUACAAAACCCUUUUGCGAAGAACAAUUUUCAAAAAUUCGGCAUGAACUUGGGAUGAUGAAAUUUUCGCAUUAACAUCUCUAUUUAUGUUAUUGAAUCUAUUAAAAUCGUUUGCUUGAUAAUUAUUAAUGUUUAUGAAGUGUUUGAGCAAGUUAGAUAUAUGUGGUGUUUGAUUUAUUAAUUUUUGAAUGCUUAUGUGCUUCAUGAAUAUAUGCUUGUUGGAUGGAUUAUUUGUUUGAAUUAAUUAUCUUUUAGAUGUUUAAAAUCAUGAAUCAUGCAUUAAAUUGGCUCUUGAGAUGUUUCGGGAUCACAAAAUGGUCACGGAAUUAAUCGAAAUUAGCCGAAAAUCAACUUGAGUGCAGCUUGACAGCAACCAGGCGGCUAGCCGCUUGGAAAAUGUCCCCAACCCGAGAGCAAGCGGCUAGCCGCUUGGUCACGGGUUGGGCAUAUUUUUUUUUGCUUCUUCUUCUUCCUUUGUUAAUUUUCUGCACAUGCUCUCUCUUUCACUCAAAACCGUGAGCAACCCAUCCAUUUUUCACUUCCAUUUUCUUCCUUUUUCAUCCAUUUUCAUGCCCAAAUCAACCAUUCAAACUAAUACCCAUGCAUUUCAUCUUCAUUAAACCCUUCUCCAUCAUGAUUUCUUCACUUGUUCUUCAUCAUUCCAUCCUCAUUCCAUUCACGCGUGAAUAGUAUUCUCCAUUUUCUUUCUUAAAUUUCUUCAUCUUUCACUCAUUUUCUUGUUAAAAUCAAUCAUCCAACUCAUUAUUCAUCCAUUACUCCUUCAAUUUUCACUCUCAAAACAACAUUUCAUCAACUCUCCACAUAAAACCCAAAAUAAAAAAUUCUCACUCUACCCGUUUCUCUCUCUUCAUUUUCAAGCUUCCUUUAGCCCAUUUUUAAUUCACUCUACAUCAUAAAUUAGCUUAAUUCAUCUCUAGGCUUAAUUUUCUUGCCUCAAACAAAUCCAUUUCACUCAAUUUUUGUUAAACCCGAAAUUGCAUUUUUAAGCUUUUUUUUUCUUCCAACAAUGGCGGGUGGUGACAAGUCCAAGGGAAAACACGUGGCCAAGAAGCGUAAGGAUGAUCAUGGAGAUUAUUCAGACUUUAUGUUGAUUCAUUUUCCACGACUCCAACUUCGGAAACAUUUUCUCGACAAUUUCAAGCCAAGGUCGGUCAUUACUCCUUAUUUUGCCAAUCUCAGUAAUAUGGAGAAUUUAGAAAUUUGUAAUGAAUCUCUUAAAGAUUUACUUAUUGCUAUGGGAUGGAAGAAUGUGUUGGUCGUUAAUGAUCCUUACUAUGAAAAUUUAGUCAAGGUUUUCUAUUCGAAUAUGGAUACGGAAUUGUCAAAUAGAAUUGUUACUAAUGUUGGGAGAGUUCACAUUGAAUUUGAUGUUGCUUUGCUAAAUUCUAUCCUUGGCACUCCAAAUGAGGGAUUGGAAAUGUAUAGUGCUAGAGCCAAAAUCAAACAACCUUGGUUUUCCCUUGAAAAUGCCGUUCGAAAAAUUUGUCGAUGGCGUGAUUUGUCCACUGCGUUCUGUAACUCACCUUUGAAAUCUCAAGCCUUACCUCUUCAAACUCGAAUCCUUCAUUAUGUUCUUCAUCAUGUGAUUACUCCUAGAGCUGGUCAUGUGGAUGAAGUUAGUCGUUUAGAUGUAGCCAUUUUGGACUGCAUUCUAGAGGAGAGGGUGCUAAAUACUGGGUAUAUUAUCCUUCAUCAUAUGCUUAGUACUCCCAGCUUAGCCAAAAGAUCCCUUCCAUAUGCUAGUAUUAUUACCCGAAUUCUAGAGUAUUUCCAUGUCCCUAUAACCGAGUCAAUCUCCUUGAAUUCGAUGGAAUUAGGCGAUGAUUCAAUCGCUAAUCUGGGUUUUUAUUGGAGGGAUGAUAGCUGGCAUAAAGAUCAAAGAAACAAAAAGGUUACGGAACUUGCUCCUUCAGAUCAUCAUUUCCUUAACGAUGUCCGUCCCCCACACUUGCUUUGUGAUCUUAGUGCUCCAUAUCUCUCACAUCUUCCACCUUCCGAGGGCCCUUCCCACUCUACUUCAGCUGACUCUGAGGAUCCGUUGCAAUAGCUGUUAACUAAAGUGGAUUCACUUUCUGAGCGGCAAGACAAACUUCAAUCUAUGCUUGAAGCUUUUCAACUUCAGUCCAUUUCCGAACGAGAGCGUCUCUUUGCUCAACAGCAGCAGCUUCUUGAUGGCCAGCAGUAACUUUUUGCAGCUCUUGGAUUUCCACCACCAUCCUCUUCAUCACAUCCACCAUCUCCUUAGCACUCUAUUUUUUUUUUCGUCACUCUGCACUACAUCUCUCCAUGCAUUGUUGUUUUUCCUUUGCGGAUGACAUCUUGUUGUUUGAUAUUUAGAUAUGUUGUUUUUAAUUGUGGAUUAAUGAUGCUUGUUAUUUGAUCAUCGGAUAUGUUAUAUUUGGAUAAUGUUUUCGGAUUCUUGGAAUAUUAUAACUCUUUGGUUAAUUAUAUGCUUAAUUCUUAUGUGUUGCUUGAUGACUUGGUGGAGUUGGUUUUGUUUAAGCUUAUAUGGAAGUGUUUUUAACCAUGUUGUGUAUUUGAGGAUUUGUUCAUUUUUAAGGGGAGACUCUGCCGAAAUUUUUGCUCACACAAAAUGGGUAAUCUCUUCAUUGAAUUAUUUUUUUAUGAUCUUGUUUCAAAUUGCAUAUAUCUAUCUUUUAUUUUUUUUAAAGGGGGAGAUACAUAUGAUAAGUUUUUUUUUUUUUUAAAAAAAUCAUUUUGGUUAAAAUUUUUAAUUGGUCAUAUAUUCAUGUUUCUCGAUCAUCCAUUCAUAUAUUAUCGGUCUUAGCAUUAAUCUCUAGCAAUUUUUGAUGAUGAAGGGGGAGAGAUCAUGUAUUUUGAAUUCGGAGACAUGUAAUACGUAUUUUGUAUUUCAAGUAUUUAUGCAUGGUUUUGAAAUAUUAAGGGGGAGCUUACAAAUUAUCAUAAAUCAUAUAUUCAGGGGGAGUUUUUGUUUUAAUUUUGAUUUAUGUCUUCAAUUAUAUAUGCCAUGUAUUAAGGGGAAGUAUAAAUGUCAAAAUACAUGAGAUGUUUGUCAUCAUAAAAAAGGGGGAGAUUGUUAGCCUAAAGGGCUACUCAUAAUGUAAUUUUGAUGAUAACAAACAUAUGUAUUAAGUGAUUUAAUAGAUAUUGUAUUUUACAUUUUCACUAGUUUUUGAAGGGUAAUAUUUAUGCAAGUGAAUCAAGUGAAAUCAAGCUCAAGACACUCAACGGACAAACGGCGAAAUCAAGAAUAAAGUUUAGAGCUCAACAAAUAAAUUAGUGUGAUAAAUUCUUGUAAAGCCGGUAUGAUUUAAUUGAUGCAUGAUUUAGCAUUUGAGAAGCUCAAGAGAUUAAUUUAAUUAAAUACUUUUCAUAAACUAAAAUGUUUUAUUUUUAUAAAGUAAAGUAUUUUGUGGAUUUAAGUAAUUUGGACUUAAAUGCUAAGAUUUGAAAUCUUUGAUUUUAAUAAGUAUUAAAUUUCGGAGUUGGACGUUUUUAUAAACACUUGAAAUGUUUUGGGCCACACUAUAAUUUAUGAAUGUUUUGGACUAAAGUGAAAGGUUUUGAGAACUUUGAAAAAUAUGGGUAAAAGGACCUUUGUGCAAAAUAAUAAAAUUUUUGGGGCCAUAUCAUAAUUUUAGAAAGUUUGGGAAAGACAACUAUUCUUAUGAAGUUUUGAAAUUGGACCUAUUUGUAAAGUUUUAUGACAUUUUAGGUUAUAGUAUAAUUAUAGAAAGUUUUGGGCCAAAGUGUAAUUUUAGUGAACAGUAUACUAUAGCAAAAUUCAAAAAUAACGGUAAUAUCACUGUUCCUGAGCGGCUAGCCAGAUAAUCAAGCGGCUAACCGCUUGGGAACGGGAAUUUACCUAUAACGACUAGUUUUUGGGCUUUCACUAUAAAAACUCAACUUAAACUUCAUUCUAAGAACCAAUGCAAGCAAAUAUAAGAUCAUACAACAUAUAUUGAGCUUCCAAAACGCAAAUCAUCAUAGAUUGAAUCAUUGUGAGCUAUUAUUUGCAUAUCCACUCUUCAAUAGAGUUUUUGUUGUAAUUUUCAUUUCUUAUCAAAUUAUGAGUGUAUAAGUGUGAGAAACACUUGGGAUAAAGAGAUUGGGGAGAUAAUCUCUUGAUUGUAAAGGUUCAUUGACACCUUAUAAGUCAAUUGUAAGAACUUGAAGCCUUGGGAGGCUUGGAUAGUGAAAUCCUCGAGCUUGGUUGGCUUGGAGGCGUGGACGUAGGCGGAGAUUGCCGAACCACGUAAAAAUCCGUGUGUUUGUUUUUCUCUUCCCUUACUCUUUUAUUUUUACGCUUGUUUGAAUUUAUUGUUUUCUAUUUCAUUAAGGUGUUAGAUUGAUUUGUUGGAGCGAAUUGUAUUAGGAUUAAUUUGGUGGAGUGGAAUUGUAUUGCAUAAUUUUUAAAAUCCCAAUUCAUCCCCCCUCUUGGGUUGCGUUACUUGUAUUUCACUAUCAUCAUUCAAUCAUUGUCAUAUCUAAAGUAGGGAUUUUUAAGCGUAAACCUAUAUAAUUGCUUGGUUAGUCAAACCAAUAGAGCUUUUUAAUGUUUCAGCUGCAAUAGUAGAUUCUAAACAACAUAAAGUCAUGAAAGAAUAAUAUCAAGCCCUAAUUAAUAACAAAACUUAGUUCUUGUUUAGCCUACUCAUUUUGUUACAGUAGUGAUAACUUUAUAAAAUGAGAAUUAUCAUAGUAUUUCUAGGCUUAAAUUAGUAUCAUUUAGAGAGUAAAUGAUAAUUUUUAUCCAAUUUUUAGUUAUUUUUUGCAUAAGUAUCUAUUUAAGUUUGUUUUAGCAAUUUGAUGUGUUUGAGACUAUUUUGUGCUCUAAUUAAGUGUACUAUUAUAAGUGACUAAAAAGCACUUGCUUUGUUGAUGAAUGUAGAGAAAAAGGACUGCAUUGUUGCCGCAACAAACCUAUUGAAAAGGACAAAAGACUUAUCUGCACAUGAACAAAUACAAGUCUGAACCAGAGAGAAUAUUGUCGCACUUACUGUAGCAAUCUAGGACUAAGUAAAGACAAAACUAUCCAAGCUAUUCAUUCACUAUCUGAUAGAUUCUGCUGCAACCAUUACUGCACUGCCAUUGUCAUGUGCAGACAAAACAAUGGUAGGGGCACUGAUGGGUGUCGAAGCCAACAAAAAUAAAUUCCUACUCUAAAUAAAUUGUGUAUAGUGAUUGAGCAGGGUCGUGUCCACAGAGAUCAGUAAUUAUUUAAAUCCUUUUGAAACGUAAAACGUAAAAUGGGGGAAUUGUUGACAAUAAUAAAAAUCAAAUUAAAAUAACGAGAAUGUAAAUUAAAGUUGUGAUUCAAAUUGGAGAAAGCUCUGGUUGAAGGAAUUAACUCAGCUUGAUUCGACUACUGAUCAUUGAUUCAAAUAUAGAUUAUUAUUACUUAUGAAUAGACCGGUUAUAGCUACUGAGACCCUCUAAUAGCCAAUCUAUCCUUAACUAGUCGAUAACCAAGGUACGACCGUUGGUUAUUUCUCUAAUCAAUAGACAACCCUAGAUACGAUCAUAGGAUUUAAUCAAUUGACAGCCUGAAAAACCAGAGAGACCCAAAUCCUAAUCAACACAUAUGAUGAUUCAUUUAAAUUAGAUUGUUUAUUCUCACAACACAACUCUCUGCUAUGUUAUUUGUCACAAACAUUAAAUUCUUCAUACGAUGAAUCCUUUAAUUGACAAUAGAUUAAGUUGAUAAUUAAAUAGUGGCCAAUUACCUAAUUAACAAACAUAAUCAUGAAAAUAAUUCAGAGAAUAAACAAAUACCCAAAAAGCAAUAAAACAAUUAAAGCACAAGAAAGAUCUCACAGUAGUGAUGAAUCAAAGCUUCAUUAUCCUUCAACCAGAAAAAUAGGUUUAGUUCUUCAUAGAGAGAAGAGAAAAAUUAAGAUCUAGGGUUUCUUUCUUUUUCUCCAAUCCAAAUCCCCCCUUUUUCACAAUAGAUUCCUCCCUUAAAUACUCUCUCUCUCUUCUCUUUUAGAAUUCUAUUUAAAAUAAAAUACUAAUAUCUGAAAUAUUAAAUUCGUAAUUACAAAAAUAACCAAAAAUACAAAACACGUUAAACUAAAAACUGCAGGUCCGCAGUUGACAGCACGCGCCCACGCCUUAUCAACAAAGUUCUUCUGACGCUCAUAAUUUCUCCAAGAGAACAAUCCUCCUUAAACAUAAUCUUUUAGCUCAAUUUUAUCACCAAUCAAUAGAAUUGCACCUACAAAAGUAAAACACAAGUAAAACAUUAUUAUUAAGUGCAAAACAUCGAUAUUAAGGGAAGUAAACAAUACAAAACUAGUGCAUAAAUUGCACUCUAACAGGCACAAAAAGAAAUGUGGUCCUAGAAUGCUAAGAAAAAAUAUGUGUCCUCUUGCCUUUUGGUUGCCUUAAUUCUAAGAUAUAAAAGGGCACAUUUUUUAGGAAAGACAUCAUCAAAUAGUCGUCACGCACACAAAAAGAAAAAAAGGAAAGAGAGAAUGUUUGAGCUACAACAGAGUGUAUCUCGUGGAGAAGGAUGAGAGAAACUUGAAGACUAAAGUGUGACACUUUGGUCCUUUUGUAUCUCAACUUUAUUAUUGUAUUUUGCUUGUUGUAUUUGCUCUUUAAUGAUUUAUUUCAUGGCAAACACUUACGUUUUUAUUGUUUUAAAGAUCAUCAUGAGCUAAACUUUAAUGUAGUUGGGUUUUGAAUGAGCUUAAUGGUUAUUUGACGUCUAUAUGUAUGUUGCUUAAAAUAUGCUAUAGCAUUGUAUCUUGAUUUUACAUAUUGCAAAUCUUUAUUUCGGUUGACCACCUAUUUAGUGGAUACUAGUUAAGAACGAUUCUAAAAAUGGUCUGACUUAAUGGAAUAAAUUAAGAUAAUAUGUGGUUUUACAUUGAGUUUCCCAAAUUGCGUUAAUCUCGAUUUAAAUGGGGUCAUCCUUAAUCUAAAAUUAAUGAGGAACUAGACAUAAGGAUUUAUCUUGUAGGGCAAAUAAAGUCUAUAUUGUAUAAUGCUAUGUUUAAUGUUAGUUUAACAACUGAUCACUGUUAGAUUGCAUAUAAACAUAAGAUAUCAAACAUGCGAUCUAGAGAUUCUGCUUUAAAGAUUUUGUCUAGUGCUAGAGUAAAUGCUGUAGCAAAUGUGCCUCAAGUAUAAAAUAGUCAAUAACUAAUAAAUGAUUUUAGAACCUAACUACCCUUUUGUCAUUGAAGUAUAUCUUUAUGUUUGACUUUACUUUUUCAUUACUGCAUUCUGUUUGUUGCAUUUUUAAUUUCAUUAGAUCAUUAAUUUCAAAUCAUUUAUUUUUGUUUUAUUUAGUUUACUAAAAUUGCACUGUUAAGAUUGCUAUAGCAAGUCUUAUAACGUCAAUUCCUAUAGGGAUGAUCUUGAUACUCAUCAUUAUAUUACUCGUUGUAUACACUUACACAUUGACACCACAUCACACACCAAGUACUUGGCAACAACUGGGUGUUUCAUGGUAGUGUAUUAAGUUACAAAGUUAGGCUUAUAUAGCCAAAGGAUUUCAUCAAACUCAAGGGUUGGACUACAAUGAAACAUUUGGUCCAGUUGUUAAAUCUUCUACCAUCAAGGUUAUUUUGAGUUUGCUUAUGCUAAAUCAUUAGGUGCUAAGACAAAUUGACAUCAAUAAUGCAUUUUUAUUGGUUACUUUAUUGCAAAAGUUUAUAUGCAGCAACCAGAGGGCUCUAUAGAUAACACUAGACUUAAUCAUAUUUACAAAUUACACAAAGCUUUAUACGACCUCAAGGAAGGCCUUAAGGCAUAGUUUAACUAACUUAAAAUGGCACUUAUAGCUCAUUAGGAUUUUAUUAACUUCAGAUCAUAUGCUCCUGUAAUCUUUAAGAAAGUUUAGGGAUAUUUGCUACUUGUUCUUAUGUGUGUAGGUGAUAUCAUCAUCGCAGGUUCAAACACUUAGCUGAUACAACAUGUCAUUAGUGACUUGCAGUCUGUUUUUACACUCAAAGAUCUUAGAGAAUUGAAUUAUUUCUUUAGUACUCAAGUCACCAAGAAUUAAUCAGGACUCUAUCUCUCUCAAUCUAAGUAUAUCUAACUUACUUAGCAAAGCAAGACUGCAAGAUAACACACCCUCCUCAAGUCUUAAGGUCUCUGAAGUCUUCUCACCAAAGUGAUUAUUUUUCUAAUACUUCCUUGUAUUAAAGCACCAUUACAACAAUUCAGUAUGCUAUUUUGACUUACUUAAGUUUAGUUUUUUAGUUAACAAACUCAGUCAAUUCCUCUCAGCUCUACCCGUUAAUCAUUAGCAAGGUUGUGAAAGGGUUCUCAAGUAUCUUAAAGGUACCAUUCACCCUGGACUGUAGUUUUAUCAUUAGGGUAACUUACAAACAAAUUACUUUAGUGAUGAAGAUUAGGCAGGUGACAGGAAUGACAGAAGGUUAGUUGUUGGUUUGUUAGUUCCAUAUUAGUAUUCUGAUGCUCUAAAAAGCAAGCUGUUAUCUAUCGAUCAAGUACCGAAUAUGAGUACAGAGCCUUGGAAAUGGCUGCCUUAGAGGUACUUCUCUGAGAUUGUUGUUCUUAUUCCCUCCAUUCCAGUCAUUUAGUAUGAUAACCAAAGUGCCACAACCUUGGUAUGUAAUCUCAAGUUUCACUAUAGCACAAAACGUAUUGAAUUAAAUGUUCAUUUUAUCCGGGAAAAAGUUGCCACCAACAGUUCUUAAGUUCAUUAUGUUUCUAGCUCUGAUCAAACUACAGAUAUUCUAAUCAAGCGUUAGCCUAUCGUUAUUUAUGUUACUAGUGCGAUAAGCUUAACCUUACUUCACUAGGAUGAGCUUAAAGAGGGAUGUUAAGGAUAAGCAAGCUGGCAAGCUGUUAACUGAUGAGUUAGGUGAAUUUACAGCAUGUGUAUUAGUUGUAACGAAUUGCCACAUAGAACUUAUGAUAGGAUGUUAUUAGAUUCAGGUAAUUAUUGUUAGCGAAGUUAUUAUUGAAGCUUAGCUAAUAUAAAUUAAGCUCAGAAUACUUAGUGUGAAAAUCAAAAAGUAAAAUCUAGAUCAUUCUACUUCUUUUUCUCUUGAAUUUUCUCAGUUUCCAAACAUCUAGUUACAAUUUUCAUAAUAAUGCAUCCAUUGGCUUUAAAAUUAAAAAUUAGUUGAUUCCUCUAAAUCUGCCAAAUGGUAAGUUCUUAUUUGUCUGGGCCCACUAGCUCUAAAUCAACUAAAUUAGUAAACUCUUACAAGUUUUUCGUCUACUUAUGUCUCAAUCAAUAAAUGUCGUGUAGUUUUCGUUAGGAAAUUGAUGGCUACAGCAGACAUAUAACUAAAGUAAAAUUGAGAAAAUUAAGAAAAUUGAGACACAAAAUCAUACAGGAGACACCAAAAUUUAAGUGGUUUGAUUUUUUUCCUACGUCUACGAGCGAAAAUAUAAGGAUAAAACUAUACCAAUGAAAUAGAGAUUACAAGUACUCAAGUAUUUUAAUUUGCUACUGAUAACUCUAUGAAUUAAGAGUUAUUAUGGCACUUUUAGACUUAAAUCAAUACUAUUUAGAGAGUAAAUUAUGUGUUUCUAUUGCAUUUUUUGUUACAUUUUGCAUAAAUAAUCAUUUUAGUCAAUCUUAAUAAGUUUUGCUCGAUUUAAAGUAAUUUGUGCUCAAAUUGUGUGCAUAAUUGUAGGUUUUCAUAAGCUUAUAAUUCAUGGAAGGAAUGCUAUGCAAUAGGCUUGCAAAAAUAAGGAAAGAACAUGACUACAAAAGAGUUGAAACAAAUCUGAAACAGUGCAGUUACUGUAGAUAUUGCUGUAGCAACCAUUACUGUAGCAAUCCUAGAACAACGACAAAGAAAAUUCUGUGCGGGAUAAUUACAAAAUUGCGUUUUGCAGUUUCCUAAUUUGACUUAUGCGAGACCUAGGCUUCCGUUUACGCUAAUUUUCAAUUAUAAAAGAAGCAUACAUCAUAAGGAAAACAAAGGGCCAUCACCUGAGGAGAAAAACACAAAGAAAAAAAAGAAAAACAAGAUUCAAGAGAGAGAUUAAGGGCUACACAAGAGGAAAAAUUGCAGAGAUCAAUUAGGAGCUCAAUCCUUUUUGUCCUUCUCUUGUUUUCGUGUUUUCUAUUUACUCAUGGGGAUGCGUUUCAUGGCUGAAACUUUGUUCUUUAUUUUUUUUUUGCAAACCAUGAACUAAAUUUAUUUGUGGUUGAGUGAUAAAAAAUCUUGAUGGUUUAUUGACUGAAUAUAUGUGUUUCUGCAUGUUUGCUAUAGUAGUUUGUUUUGAUAGUAUUUAUUUUUAUUCAUUAUUUCGGUUGAUCACCCAUUUAAUGAUACAAGUUAGGAGAGAACCGCAAAAUGGCCUAUCUUAGUGGAACAUAUCAGAGCAAUACUUGGUUUUAGAUUAAGUUUCCUAGAUUGAGUUUAACUUAUCCCAAAAGGGUCAUGCUUAAUCUAAAAUUAGUGAUGAACUAGACAUAGAGAUUCACUUUGUAGGGUAAAUAGAACUUAAGCGUGUAAUGUUAUAUCUUAUGUUGACAUAACAACUAAUCAUUGUUAGGUUGCAUAUAGAUAUAAGAUAUUCAACAUGCGACGGGUGAGGAUACAUAAGGAUUCUACCCAGUGCUAUAGUAGAUGUUGCAGCAACCGAGUCAAACAUUAGAAAAUAGUCAAUACCAUAAAGAGAGUUUAUUCACUCAACUACUCUAUAUUCUCAUUGGUUUUAUCCUUGAGUUUGUCGUGAUAAUUUAUUUUGUUGCAUUUUAUUUAUUGCACUUUUAUUUUAAUUAGUAUAAUAGUUUCACUAAGUGUUUUAUUUUAAUUUAGCACAAAAUCUGCACUCUUGAGAUUGCUGUAGCAAAUCUAAUAAUAUCAAUCCCUGUGGAGACGAUCUUGAAUACUUAUCACUUUAUUACUUAUUGUGUACACUUGCACAUUGACACCAAUAGUAUUAGUAUUUUUACACCAACAAGUUUCUGGCGCCGUAGCUGGGGAUUGAUUGUUCAUUGUGAUUUGUGAAAUUAAUUUUAACGGUACUAAUUUUUAAUUUUAUUUUGAUUUGUUUAUUUUGUUGACAUAGGUGAUCUAGCAACCCUUGCAUGCGCAAAUAUAAAUCUAUUGAAUUCUAGUUUGAUCCAGAAAUUGAAAGAACUGGAAGGAGAUUGAGAAGAGAGCAUCGGGAAUUACAAGCUGCUGUAGCAAUGGAUGAUUUGCAAUAUUUGAGAAACUUGAACUGUAGAGAGGAGAUACAACCAGUCAAUGUACAUGAAGGUUUGCAUGGACAAUGUGUUCAAAGGCAACCAGGGAACAACAACAUUGUUCACAUGGCGAACGAUAGAGAUAGAGCCAUUUGAGACUACGCAGUGUUAACUCCUCAGGCCAUACAUCCGGGAAUAGUUAGACCCGACGUUCAAGCUGACAAUUUUGAACUCAAACCCGUGAUGUUUCAGAUGCUUCAAACAGUGGGGCAAUUUAAUGGUUUGCCAUCCGAAGAUCCUCAUCUACACCUUAAGUUAUUUUUGGAAGUAAGUGAUGCUUUCAAGAUUACUGGAGCAUCGCAAGAAGCAUUGAGACUCAGACUUUUCCCGUUUUCUUUGAGAGAUCGAGCAAGAGCAUGGUUGAAUUCUCUACUACCAGAUUCUAUCACUACAUGGAAUGAUUUGGCUGACAAAUUUUUGAUGAAAUACUUUCCGCCAACCAAGAAUGCAAAGUUGAGGAACGAGAUCACAUCUUUCCAUCAACUUGAAGAUGAGAGCUUGUGUGAUGCAUGGGAGAGAUUUAAGGAGUUACUUAGGAGAUGUCCUCAUCAUGGUAUUCCUUACUAUAUAUAGUUGGAAACUUUCUAUAAUGGUCUCAACCCAAGCACUAGAUUGAUGGUGGACGCUUCAACAAAUAGGGCCUUGUUAUCUAAGUUUUACAAUGAGACUUAUGAAAUUUUGGAGAGAAUAGCCAACAAUAACUAUCAGUGGCCAUCAAUCAGACAAGCUACAGCAAGAGGUACAAUAGGAGUUCAUAACGCAGCAAGAGGUACAGUAUUGUCAGCUCAAGUAACUUCAUUAACAAACAUGGUGAAAACUAUGACCACUGCUCUAGCAAGUGUCAACCUAGUUGCCGAGGUCUCUUGUGUUUAUUGUAGAGAAGGACACUUAUUUGAUAAUUGUCCUGGGAAUCCAGCUUCAGUAAAUUAUGUGGGCAGUUUCAAUAGACAAAACCAGGACAAUCCAUAUUCAAACACUUACAACCCUGGAUGAAGACAACACCCGAACUUUUCAUGGAGUAAUCAGAAUCAGCCUGCUGCAGCAUUCAGUGGAUAGAACAUACCUGCUCAACUACCUGGAUUUUAUCCACAAAAUCAAGAGAAAAUAAGCAUCAACACUGAUCAACUCAGUUCCCUUGAAGGUUUGAUUAAGGAUUAUAUUGUGAAGAAUGAAGCAGUUGUCCAAAGUCAUACUGAAUCUUUGAGAAACUUGGAAAAUCAAAUUGGACAGCUUGCUGCAGCAUUAAGCAACAGACCUCAAGGCAGUUUACCCAGCAACACAGAGGACCUAAGAAGAGAAGGGAAAGAGCACUGCAAAGUGAUUAACUUGAGAUCUGGAAAGGAUAUUGAUAGUUCAGUUGGUGUACCAAAAAGAAGAAUUGAGUCUAACAAAGGCAAAGAAGACACUCAAGUAGAGAAUGAGUCAUAAUUUUUCACUUUUUAAAAUGCAAAUCAAUACAGUUCUGCUACAGCAUCUGCAGAAAGUUAUGAUCCAGCACUUAGUGGUGAGGUAGCUACAACAUUAUCAUCAACAAAACCGAGUCAAGCAAAAGAGAAGCAGUCUGCACAACCUGCUGCAGCACAACAGUUUAGACACCCACAACCCUUCCCUCAAAGAUUUCAGAAGCAACAACAAGACAAGCAGUUCAGCAAAAUCUUAGGAGUGCUGAAACAGCUGCAUAUCAAUAUCCAUUUUGUGGAAGUUCUAGAGCAAAUGCCAAACUAUGCAAAGUUUUUUAAGGAUAUUUUGACAAAGAAAAGAAGACUUGGAGAGUUUGAAACAGUUGCUUGAGCACAAGAGAGCAGCCGAAUGCUUCAGAGUAAGAUACCACAGAAGAUGAAGGAUCCAGGAACCUUCACAAUCCCAUGCUCCAUAGGCACUAAAUACAGUAGCAAAGCACUUUGUGAUUUAGGGGCUAGCAUCAAUCUCAUGCCUUUAUCAGUAUUUAAGCAAUUGGGAGUUGGUGAAUGUAGACCAACAACAGUGACUUUACAACUUGCUGAUGUUAGCAUAUAUGUAUCCAUAAUGUUGAUUUUGAUGAUAACAAACAAGAUUAAGAAUGAUUAAGUUUUUAAAAGAUCAAAUUAUUUUAAAUAAAUCAUUAUUAUCACAUUUUAAAGGUUUUAUAUUUAAUGGAAAAAUGAUUUAUGAAAUUAUUUAUUUUUCAAGUUUAUGGCUUAAUUGAAAGAGUUUUGAAAACUAUGAAAUCAACAAGUAUUGCUUGAAAUUUUAGAGAAUGAUUUAUUUGAAAAGUAUUCAUAGCAUUUUGGGCUAUAUAAUAAUUUCAGAAAGUUUUGGGAAUAGUAAGCAUUAUUUAGAAAUUCUGAAAUUGGACUUAUUUGCUAAAUGUAUAAUGUUUUGGGCCAUAGUACAGUUAUAUAAAGUUUUGAGGUCAAACUAUUAUUUUACAAAAUAGUUCACUGUAGCAGUCACUGUAGCAGUUAUUGUAGAAAACGGCGAUCCGGCAUCUUAAUAACGGCUCGCCGACAUCUAACAGAAUUGAAGAUUAGCCUCUAGACCUAAACGGUGAUCCGACAAUUUUGAUAAACGGCUCGCCGAUAUCGAACAGAACUGAAGAUUAGCCUCUGCACUUAAACGGCGAUCCGACAUCUAGAUAACGGCGAUCCGACAAUUUAAAAAUCAACCCAACGGUCAUAUUGACCAGUCAAACGGCGAUCCGACAUCUAGUUAACGGCGACCCGACAGUGUGAUGGUCCUUUUAUGCCUUUGACUAAAAAUGAAGUCGGGGAAGAUAUUCCAAAACCUUCACAGGAAUGGAAUGAAUUGGAAAAGAGAAAAGCUACUCUAAAUUCCAAAGCUAUGAAUGCCUUGUUUUGUGCACUAGAUAAGGAAGAAUUUCAUAGAGUAUCUAGUUGUGAGAGUGCUGAUGAAAUUUUACACAAACUUGAAGUUGUUUAUGAAGGCACGAAUCAAGUAAAAGAGUCUAAAAUUAGUAGUUACACUCGGCAAUAUGAAUUGUUCCAAAUGGAACAAAAUGAGAGUGUGUAUUCUAUGUAUACUAGAUUUACGGACAUAGUGAACACUCUAGGAGCCCUAGGAAAGACUUUUUCAAAUAGCGAGAAAGUUAAGAAAAUUAUUAGGUCGCUACCUAAGGAAUGGAGACCAAAAAGGACGGCCAUUGAGGAAGCCAAAGAUUUAAAUAUCUUACCUAUUGAUGAUUUAGUUGGUUCUCUUAUUUCUUAUGAGGAAGACUUGGCAGCCGAAAAAGGCAAUGAGGAGAAGAAGAAAAGCAUUGAUCUCAAAGCCUCGAAAUAUGAGAGUGAUGAGGAAAGCGAGCUGGAUGAGGAGGAGAUGGAUAUGCUGGCUAGGAAGUUCAGAAAAUUUUUUAAGAAAUCCAGUGAGCGAAGAAAAUUUAGAGACCUCAAGAACCGAAAAGAGAAUAAGGAAGUAAUCAAAUGUUAUGAGUGCAAGAAACCUGGCCAUAUAAGAUCGGAAUGCCCUCUUCUCAACAAGCUCAAGAAGAAAGCAAUGGUAGCCACAUGGGAUGAUAGCGAGGAGGAAACAAGUGAUGAUGAAGAGCAUCAAGAAAUGACAAAUCUAGCUCUUAUGGCAAUUGGAGAUGAAUCGGAUGAUGAACUUGAUGAGGUAAAUGAUCUUCCUACUUAUGAUGAAUUACAUGAUGCUUUUAAAGAAUUGCAUGAUGAGUGGAUGAAAAUUGGUAAAAAGAAUGCAUGUUUUAAAAAGAAAAUGGUAGAGCUCAAAAAUGAAAAUGAAUCUCUAUGUGCAAAGAUUACAUGCCUAGAAUUAGAGAAUAAAAUAUUGCAUGAUAGAGUUGCAUUAUCAAAUGAGAAACCUAGCACUUCACAUGAGCAUCUAGAAUAUCACAUAGAUGACUUGAAAAAGGAAAAUGAAAUGCUUAAGAAGAAGAUCAAUGAGUUAAAUGAGAUUGUUUUAAAAUUUACAAAUGGAUAAAAGAUGUUGGAUAACUUGAUUAAUUCACAAAAAUGUGUGUUUGAUAAAAGACGACUUGGUUAUAAGCCAAAUUUGAAACAAAAGUAUUAUAAGAAUUACUUUGUGAAGAGUACAUCUAUUAACAAUCAAGUUGUAUGUCAUUAUUGUAAUCAAAACGGUCACAUGAAGUUUGGUUGUCCUAUUAAAAGAAAAGUAUAUUAUGGAGUAAAAUGUGUUUGGGUUCCAAAAGGAACCAUUGCUAACACUCAAGGACCCAAUAGUAUUUUGGGUACCAAAGGACACAACGUGACUAUUUUCUUUGUAGGUACCACAAUCAAGGAAUGGUGGAGAAGUUCCUUGAUGAAAUCUUGUGAGGAUAAUCACUUGAGUAUGAUCUAGGAGAAAAAGAUGAGGCAAGAUGAUUUAAUUGUUUUGGUAACAAUUCUUGCCAUAUUAAUUUUGUUGAAUGAAUCAUGAUAAAUGAAUUUGUGAAAGUAUGCUUGUAUGUUUACAUGAUGGAAUUAUCAUUUUGUAUAACAUUGAGUGAUUUAUCAUGAUGUCUUUGUUUGAUUUUGAUGAUUGUAUGGUCUUUGAUUUCAUCUUCUUAAUUGUCUAUUAUCAUUGUCCAUCUCUUAUGUAUGUGUGAAUUCAUAUGCCAUUAAUUGUGUUAUAUUAUUUAUAAAAUUCGCAAAAAUGACUUAUUGCACUUAUGAAUUUGAUCACUUGUUCUUACUUAUAAUGAUGGCUUUUCUUAAUAGCUAUGUUGAUUUUGAUGAUCUUAUAUUGUCAUUAUGUACUUAUGUUUUACUUAAGUUUUGAUGAUAAAGAAUGUGCAUUGAUGAUUACAUUGUAUUUAAUGAAGCUUUGAUCUUAUGCAAUCUAUGAUUAGUGAAUGAAUGCAUUUUUUGUACUUUAUUGAUGCAUUGUUGAAUAUGCCUUACUUGUUUUAAAUGAUAUCGAAAAAGUAUAUAAGAUUUUUUAAGUUAUAUUGAAAUGUCACAUUAGAUCUUUGAUAAGUUUAAUUGUCUUGAUUUCUAAAAUGUGAUUAAUAAUUAUGGAGCUUGGAUAUUUGAUAAUAUGUUCUUAUAACUUUUGCAUGCUAAUUUGGUAAACAAAUAAAAACUCUUUGCGAAGAACAAUUUUCAAAAAUUCGGCAUGAACUUAGGAUGAUGAAAUUUAUUAAUAUCUCUAAUAAUGUUAUUAAUACUAUUAAAAUUGAUUUCUUGAUGAUUUUGAUGAUUGAUGAUUAUAUGUGUGUUGCUUGAUGAAUUGAUGGAGUUGUUGGUUUGUUAUAAUUGUUUAAGCUUAUAUGGAAGUAUUUUUAACCAUGUUGUGUAUUUGAGGAUUUGUUCAUUUUUAAGGAGAGACUUUGCCGAAAGUUUUGCUCUCACAAAAUGGGUAAUAUCGUCAUCGAAUUAUUUUUGAUGAUCUUGUUUCGAUUGCAUCUAUCUAUCUUUUCUUUUUUACGAUGAAGUGGGAGAUAAAUAUGAUAUAUUUUUGGAUAAAAUUAUUUCGAUUAAAAUUUUAAAUUGGCCAUAUAUUUAGGGGGAGCAUAUAAUAUGAUUUUGGAUAAUAUGCAUUUUGAACUUUUUUGUUGUCCAAAGGGGGAGACAAAAUAAUAUAUCAUUUCGAUGUUGUCAAAAGGAGGAGAAUAAUAUGCAUUUUGAGUAAUUGUUUUGAUAAUUGAUAUGUGAUUAUGGUGAGGACUUGAUGAUUUUGAGAUAUGAUGAUGAUUUGAUUACAUGGGUGUUUUAUAUGAUAAAUUGAUGUUAUCAGUUGUUGACUUGGUAAUUGAUGGAAUAAUGGUUCAUGAUAUUUUUGUGUGAUGAUUUGUGUAGGAAGUUGGCUUGUAUCAUGAUUUAUAAUAAUUUGGGAGUAAUAUUACUAAACUUGUAUUUGAAGUGAUGCUUGUUGUUAAGGGAAAAUUCUAUCAAAAUUUCUACUCGGACAACAUGGGUAACAAAUUUGCUACUUUUAUUCUUUUCCUUUAAGUUUUCGUUUUGAUAAUGAAGGGGGAGAAGAAUACAUGUUUUUAAAUUUAUAAAAAUUUGCUACUCUUUUUCUUUGCCAAUUAAGUUUUCUUUUUGAUGAUGAAGGGGGAGAAAAAUGCAUGUAUUUAAAUUUGUUAAUUUAGUUACUUGGCAAAUUGUAAGAGAAGAUUAUAUUUUGGGGAAGCAAUUUGUGGAAUCAUUCUUUAAAUACAUUCAAGGUUUGUCAUCAUCAAAAAGGGGGAGAUUGUUAGCAUAUAUGUAUCCAUAAUGUUGAUUUUGAUGAUAACAAACAAGAUUAAGAAUGAUUAAGUUUUUAAAAGAUCAAAUUAUUUUAAAUAAAUCAUUAUUAUCACAUUUUAAAGGUUUUAUAUUUAAUGGAAAAAUGAUUUUAUGAAAUUAUUUGUUUUUCAAGUUUAUGGUUUAAUUGAAAGAGUUUUGAAAACUUUGAAAUCAACAAGUAUUACUUGAAAUUUUGGAGAAUGAUUUAUUUGAAAAGUAUUCAUAGCAUUUUGGGCUAUAUAAUAAUUUCAGAAAGUUUUGGGAAUAGUAAGCAUUAUUUAGAAAUUCUGAAAUUGGACUUAUUUGCUAAAUGUAUAACGUUUUGGGCUAUAGUACAGUUAUAUAAAGUUUUGGGCUCAAACUAUUAUUUUACAAAAUAAUUCACUAUAGCAGUCGCUGUAGAAAACGGCGAUCCGACAUCUUGAUAACGGCUCGCCAACAUCUAACAGAAUUGAAGAUUAGCCUCUGGACCUAAACGGCGAUCCGACAAUUUUGAUAAACGGCUCGCCGAUAUCGAACAGAACUGAAGAUUAGCCUAUGCACCUAAACGGUGAUCCGACAUUUAGAUAACGGCGAUCCGACAAUUUGAAAAUCAGCCCAACGGUCAUAUUGACCAGUCAAACGGCGAUCCGACAUCUAGUUAACGGCGAUCCAACAGUGUGCAGAAAGUCAAUAACGGCUAGUUUUCAGCUCCAUCUAUAAAUAAGCUCAUUCAAAUUCAAACAAGAAGAAUUCCAACGAUCAUCAUUGAGCAAAAUAUUGAGAAUACAACUUUCAUUGAGCUUUAAAUCAUUGUAUUCAUCACAUUCAUUCCCACAGUGAGCUUUCACUUGUGAUCAAACACAUUGUGUAAGAGAGAUUCAUUUGUAAUCCUUUUUGUAAAAUUAAGUUAAAAGAUUGUAAGUGUUGGGAUACACUUGGGUUAAGAGAUUAGGGAUAAUCUCUUGUUGUGAAGGUUCAUUGACACCUUGGAAGUUAAUUGUAAACGUUUGAAGCCUUGGAAAGGCUCGGAUAGUGAAAUCCUCAAGCCCGGUGUGCUUGGAGGCGUGGACGUAGGCGGGGAUUGCCGAACCACGUAAAAAUCCUUGAGUUUGCUUUCUCUUCCCUUACUCAUUUAUUAUUGUGCUUUCAUUGAAUUUAUUGUUUUCGAAUUUAUUAAGGCAUUAGAUUGGAUUGUUGUGUGGUUUUCUUAGCUUAAAUUUUAAAAUCUCAAUUCACCCCCCUCUUGGAUUGCCUAGUUAGUAUUUCAGCUGACAGAUCUCAUGCAUAUCCAGAAGGAAAGAUUGAAGAUGUGUUGGUGAAGAUGGAUAAAUUUAUUUUUCCAGUGGAUUUCAUUGUGCUAGACUUUGAGGCAGACAAAUAAGUGCCAAUCAUUCUAGGGAGACCUUUCUUAGCCACGAGAAAGACUUUAAUUGAUGUUCCAAAAGGAGAAUUAACCAUGAGGGUGAAUGACCAGCAAGUUACAUUCAAUGUGCUGGAUGCCAUGAAGAGUCCCAAUGAGAUUGAAGAUUGUAAUUUUAUAAGUGUUGUGAACCUUGUUGUAAUAGAAAGAUUACACAGUUGCUGCAAUAAGAAAGAAAUCAAUACUAUAACAAUUAAAGAACUCGAUGAUGAAGAUCAUGGAGCAGCUAACAUAGCAUGGUCAGGGGAGAAGCAACCCUUCAAAAUUGACGGGCAAAUCCAGCAAAGGGAAUUCACUCCAGACCAACAAGAAUUCAAGGUUAAUGGGCCAAGAGUGAAGCACUAUAUGGGAGAUGAUGUGAACAACCUAAGGAAGGAUCGGUUCUUGAAGGAUCCAGGUUGAGGAAACAAGAAAGGUCAGGCUGAAAGACUUAAAAUCAAGCGCUAAUUGGGAGGCAACCCAAUAAGGGAAGUUGUUUUAAAUCUUUAAAGCAUUAAAUUUAGUUUUUAAAUUAUUGAAUUUUUCUUGUUGUUAUUUUAAGUGUGCAUCUAUUGUUUUAUGUCUUUGUGUUAAAUUGCAGCAUGUAAAAAAAAAAAAAAAAAAAAAAACCAAAAAAUGCAAAAAAAAAAAGCAUGAAUGAAUUGUUGCAGCAUCAUUUACUGCAUGAUAUAUAACAGAAGAUUCUCAAACAACAGAGGCAUUUCUUGCUUUUACAGUAGCAAAUGGAUUGAUAAGAUUUUAUGAUAAGGAGCGUUUGAGAAGUAUAUCAAAGAAAAAGUGACCCUUUACAUCCUAUGUUGUAGCAGUGCUUCCAGCAAUAAGGAAGUACCCUUACCCGCUAGUUUAUUUUACUUCUUUUUGCAAAACUUUUCUUUCAUUUAGUUUUAAUUUUCUAAUUCAUUCUGCAUGUCCUUUUAUUUAGUGUAUGCAUGUCUGGUUCAUGUGGUUUUGUUUUGUGUGCUCGUGAGGGCACAACACCACUCAAGUUUGGAGGGGUUGUGUUUUUAAGUACAUGUGUUUAUGUUUGUGUUGUGUGUUGUGUGAAGCUCUGUUAUCUAAUAUUUGUGUAUGGAUUUGAAAACCUAAUGAAGAUAAAUUGAGUGUUAUUUAAUAUUUAUGAGAAUGACAAGUAGAGAUAAUUAUAGAUGGAAGUUGAAAUUAUGUCCUGACACUUAGAGUUUGGUUGAGUUUUAUGAGAAUGUUGUAGCAGAGCCAGGAAAACAAAAAAAAGAGUAGAAAAUAUCUCAAGUUUGAGGGAAAUUUUUUGUUGAACUGUGCUUGUUAUGAAAUAAAUUCUGCUCCAAUGGUUUAAGUUGCUGAGUAACUAGGGUUGAGUAUGCACCCCAUAUGCAAACUUGAGUCCAAAGGCAACAAGAGCUAUGAGCAGUGCUGCAACAAUUAUAUAUAAAAAAAUUAAAAAAAAGGUAAAAAAAAAUGGUGAUGAAGGAAUGGAAAAUAAAGAGGUCCGCUGCCUAGGAUACUGAGUAACCUGGUCUGUUCAUUAGCCCCAUGUUCAGCCUUGAGUCAAAGGCGUCCAAAGGUAAGACUUAGAUAUAACAUCCUGGAUGUGUUGUUGCAGCAACUCUGACAUGUACUUUGAGUAAGUAAUUAGGUGUCGUCAUUACAAGUGAUGGGCACUCACAUGAAAGCUCAAUGUUGCAUUGAAGGGUUUAACUGAAAAAAAAAAAGUAUAAUUAUUGUAGCACAGUUUGAGUUUAUUUGUGAAUUCUACUCCCUCAUGUGUGAAUAUAUUUGUGUUCUAUCUUUAAAUUAUAUGUCUGUGUAAUACUGUAGCACCUCUGGAACUUGAUCAAAGUGGCACACACACACUCUGGAUAGAAUGAAGCCUAAGUCUAGAACUAAACUACUAUGGCUAUUUUGCAUGAUUAAGAAUGUGAUCUAAGGGUUGAAGAAUCCUUACAAAUUUGAUGACAGAGCUAAGUUAUUUAUUGAAUGAUUGUGUGAUUGAAGUGUUAGUGUUAUUGUCAUUACUUGAGGACAAAUAAUGGUUUAAGUUUAGGGGUGUGAUAACUCUAUGAAAUGAGAGUUAUCAUGACACUUUUAAACUUAAAUCAAUACUACUUAGAGAGUAAAAUUGUGUUUCUAUUGCAUUUUUUGUUACAUUUUGCAUAAAUAAUCAUUUUAGUCAAUCUUAAUAAGUUUUGCUCGAUUUAAAGUAAUUUUUACUCAAAUUGUGUGCAUAAUUGUAGGUUUUCAGAAGCUUAUAAUUCAUGGAAGGAAUGUUAUGUAAUAAGCUUGCAAAAAUAAGGAAAGAACAUGGCUACAAAAGAGUUGAAAUAAAUCUGGAACAGUGCAGUUGCUGUAGAUAUUGCUGUAGCAAUCCUAGAACAACGACAGAAAAAAUUUUGUAUGGGAUAAUUGCAGAAUUGCGUUCUGCAGUUUCCUAAUCUGACUUAUGCGCGACCUAGGCUUCUGUUUACCCUAAUUUUCAACUAUAAAAGAAGCAUACAUCAUAAGGAAAAGAGAAGGCCAUCACCCAAGGAGAAAAGCACAAAGAAACAAAAGAAAAAUAAGAUUCAAGAGAGAGAUUAAGGGCUAUACAAGAGAAAAAAUUGCAGAGAUCAAUUGGGAGCUCAAUCCUUCUUAUCCUUCUCUUGUUUUCGUAUUUUCUAUUUACUCAUGAGGAUGUGUUUCAUGGCUGAAACUUUAUUCUUUAUUUUUCUUUUGCAAACCAUGAACUAAAUUUAUUUGUGGUUGAGUGAUAAACAAUCUUAAUGGUUUAUUGACUGAAUAUAUGUGUUGCUGCAUGUUUGCUGUAGCAGUUUGUUUUAAUAGUAUUUAUUUUUAUUCAUCAUUUCGGUUGAUCGCCCAUUUAAUGAUACAAGUUAGGAGAUAGCCGCAAAAGAGCAUAUCUUAGUGGAACAUAUCAGAGCAAUACUUGGUUUUAGAUUGAGUUUCAUGGAUUGAGUUUAACUUAUCCCAAAAGGGUCAUGCUUAAUCUAAAAUUAGUGAUGAACUAGACAUAGGGAUUCACUUUGUAGGGUAAAUAGAACUUAAGCGUGUAAUGCUAUAUCUUAUGUUGGCAUAACAACUGAUCAUUCUUAGGUUGCAUAUAGAUAUAAGAUAUCCAACAUGCGACGGCUGAUGAUACAUAAGGAUUCUACCCAAUGCUGUAGCAAAUGCUGCAGCAAUCGAGUCAAACAUUAGAAAAAUAGUCAAUACCAUAAAGAGAGUUUAUUUACUCAACUACUCUAUAUUCUCAUUGGUUUUAUUCUUGAGUUUGACGUGAUAAUUUAUUUUGUUGCAUUUUAUUUAUUGUGCUUUUAUUUUAAUUAGUAUAAUAGUUUCACUAAGUGUUUUAUUUUAAUUUAGCACAAAAUCUGCACUGUUGAGAUUGCUGUAGCAAAUCUAAUAACAUCAAUUCCUGUGUAGACGAUCUUGAAUACUCAUUACUUUAUUACUUUAUUACUUUUUGUGUACACUUGCACAUUGACACUAAUAGCAUUAGUAUUUUUACAACAACAACUACCCAUACACUCAAUCCUUUAUCCACUAAUCACUCAAAAGCUUAUUAAAAAAUAAUUUAAUUCUCUCACUCAACGCUUCACUUCUAAUUGAAGAAUGGGGUGACAAAGAGGAGAAAUGAAGCCUCUAUUAUUCCCUCUCCUUUUUUUCUAUAUUUUUAUUAUUAUUAAAAUAAAUGAGUCACCAGAGUUCUUCCAACUUCCCGUAAAUAGGACCGAGAUAUUCUUCAUUUCUUUUUCCACGCGCGCACAGAAACGCGAGGACUUAACUUAUUGACUUUUGGGUAUCGGAGUCUCCUUCGCAUCUUCAUCCCCGUGUCAAAUUUCUUAGGUGUCAGAUAAUUAUGACUAGGAACAUUAGAGAAACAAAACAAAGCAACCGGAGUGAAAAGAAAAAGGAAAAGAACUGGCCGGUGAUAUAAUAAAAUAAAUAAAUUGAUCUAUCCGCAAGACGAAUAUGAAUGUGAUCCUCGUGUUUGUCACCGCGCUAAGCGUUCAAAUCAGCCUCACAAAGGCGGAUGAUAAGCCUACUUACAUUUAUCAUAAUUGCCCCAGCACAAAUUUUACUCCAAACAGCGCUUACCAAUCCAACCUCAAUCUCCUGCUCUCUAAUCUUCGGUCUAACGCCACCCCCGGCAGCAGCGACAAAUUCUCCAAAGGAUUCUACAACACUACUACAGGCCAUGAACCCAACAAGGUCUACGGUCUCUUUCUCUGCCGUGGUGAUUUCGGUGCGGAAACCUGCCAAAAUUGUGUCAGUGUUGCUACCUCAGAUACAGCCCAACUCUGUCCUUCCGGAAAGGAGAAUACAAUUGGGUACGAAGAGUGCCUUUUACGUUAUUUGAACAUUUCUUUCUUUUCAGUCCUGGACAUCUCGGUCAGACUCUCCCAAUGGAAUGUAGAAAAUUCUCCAAGUCGAUCAUUUGACCAGUUCGUGUGGAAUUCGAUGAACGAAGCAGUCAAUCAGGCUCUAAGUACUACCAAAAUGUUUGCGACCGUAAAGAAAAAUUAUACAGCCUCUCAAACGCUAUACAGCCUCGUUCAGUGCACGCCGGACUUGUCAAGAGAUGACUGUAGCAGCUGUCUUCGUUUAGCUAUUUCACCCUUGAACGGAUGCUGUAGCAUUAAGAUAGGAGGAAGAGUGAUGUAUCUGUUGUGCGCGGAAUGCGGAAUCAAGCGCACCAAAUAAUUACUGAAAAAUAAAGGACACAAGAAUUUACGUGGUUCGGUAAUUAAACCUACAUCCACGGAGGCAAGAAAGAAUAAUUGUUUAUUUAACAAUUAAUAGAGUACAAUAUUUGAGUAAUGAAUCUCACUUCCCAGAAACCCAAAUAUACUAAGUACUCUCACACUCUGUAGGAAAGAUGAAUUCCCCAGACACACUUCUCUCACUUCUCUCAAAAGCUUAGAAACUUAUAAGCUUAACAAUUUUGGGAUGAUUUCAAAUGAAUGAAAUACUUAGCUACUUAUAGGAGAAAUGAAUUACUAUGCAAAGAAUAAAAUAAUUGAAAAUAUAAUAAAUUAUUAUUAUUAUUUUCAAUCCAUCCCCUUUUUCCAUUCUUUCUUUUCGGCUUACAAAUUCAAUUUGAUUUUGCUUCUCCAAAGUUUGCAUGCUAGCUGUUGCAAAGUUGGCAUUGGCUUCUGACUUUUCAACAGUAUCCCAGUUGCAACUUCCGAUAUGAGCUGUACCAGUUUUAUAAUGAUAUGUCGAUCGGGACACUGCCGCCUACGGUUUUUUCUCCGCCGUCUCCUAGUUCUGUAACAAGCUCUAAAGGUAAACUAAUUUUGAAUUUCAUUCUUCACGUUAGAAAUUAACAUCAAAUUUGAUAACUAUCCUUUAAAUUAAGUUCGUUAAAAUUAUUCGAACUCUUUUGUGAGAAUGUAAUACAAUCCCUGGUUUAAGAUAAAUCAAAUUCGAUAGAUAGCCACUCUUUAAAUCUGUAGUUAUUGCAUUACUAAUUUUAAAUACUUCAGAAGGAUAAAAUAAAAUAAAAUAACAAGUAUGUGGUUUUGGUAUCUAGGAGGCAAAGGAAAGAAAGCAACAUGGAUUGCAAUUGGCACAAUUAUACCAACAAUUACUCUAUUCAUACUGUUGGGUUCUUUUUUUUGGUGCAGGAGGAGAAGAAAUAAAGGUAAUAAUGAAUUUUUCCAAAGGUUGUUUUGUCUUUUCACAAAUAUGUUAUAUAAAAAAAAGGAGAAUUUGUUUUUGACAUUUUGCGCCUCUCAAUUCCUAUUGUCUCUACAAAAUAAUAUUGUUACAGAAAGUGAUCUAAACUCUCCUACUGUUUAUCGAUCCAAAUCAUUUCACCACCACUGUUGCAAAAUCCAUCAAUUUUUUUUCAAAAAAAAAAAAAGCCUUAGAAAUUUUUGCUGAACAAAGUAGGAGUUCACAGGGAUAAAACAGUAAUAAAGAAAGAAAUUGAUAGCUGAUAUUUUUUCAAUGACAGAAGGGUUUUGAUUAACUUUAAAGCAAAAGAAAAAUGAUUAAUUAAUUUAUUAAUUUAAAACAGCAAGGAAAUUUGAUCAAUUUCCCCAAAAUGAAUAAUUCCUGAGGUUCAGAUUUCAACGUCGUUCCAAAACUAAUAUGAAAUUAUCGGAAAAUUAUACUUGCGACAAGAGAAUGAAACAUUUUCAUCUAUUUUUUUCCCCAAAAAGAAAGUAAAGUUAAUAUGUCUUGCAGCGAAGAAAGCAAUAAAAAAACAAGAACUUUAUACGAGAGAAGGUAGAAUUGGGGACGACGAGUCAAACGAUACAUUAGGUGGAGAGGCGCAAGAGGGAUCUCAUCAAGAGUUCCCAAUCUUCCCAUUAGGUCAAGCACUCGAGGCUACAAACCAUUUCUCUCAUGAAAAUAAGCUUGGAGAAGGUGGUUUCGGCCCUGUGUACAAGGUACUUUGCUUUAAUUUAUUUAAGCAAUUAAACCAGUAAUGCCAUGAGUGUUAGAGCGUGUCCUCUGACUCAAGGCCCUGUGGUUAAUUCCGUGCUGUCAGUCGGCUCAGAUUUGAACAAAUCUUCGCCGAGGUGGAGAAUUGUUGAAAAGUCAAAGAAGAGCUUGCCAAUUUCAAGGUUGGUAGCACGAUUCAACAAAUUGUUGGUUACACCAACAAUUGUAGAGAUUUUUCAAGCCGAAAAGAAAGAAUGGACAAAGGGGAUGGAUUUGGAAAAUAAUAAUAAUUAAAAAUUAUAUUUUUAAUUAUUUUAUUCUUUGCAUAGUAAUUCAUUUCUCCUAUAAAUAGCUAAGGAUUUCAUUCAUUUGAAAUCAUCCCAAAAUUGUUAAGCUUAUAAGUUUCUAAGCUUUUGAGAGAAGUGAGAGAAGUGUGUCUGGGGAAUUUAUCUUUCCUGCAGAGUGUGAGAGUACUAGGUAUAUUUGGGUUUCUAGGAAGUGAGAUUCGUUACUCAAAUAUUGUAUUCUAUUAAUUGUUAAAUAAACAAUUAUUCUUUCUUGCCUCCGUGGAUGUAGGUUUAAUUACCGAACCACGUAAAUUCUUGUGUCCUUUAUUUUUCAGUAAUUUUUUUGGUGCGCUUGAUUCCGCAUUUCGCGCGCACAACAUCAACCCCAAGAUAUCCUACGCUUAACAACGGUUUUGUAAGAUUUGAGUUCUAUCAUGUGAGUUCAUGACAACUGGUUGUCAGACCAGGUGCUUUGAGUUGUGGACAAAUCUUCUCCAUUCCCCAUGCAUUCAACGCUUUUAUUAGAUUCUUAUAAUGUGUAUCUGUAUUUCACCAACAAUCAUGAAUUUGCAUAUUGCUCACUUUCAGGGAAAACAACUGAAAAAAAGUAUAUUGACCAAAUGAAUUUUGAUAUGGGAAGUAUUGAUCGAAUGUAACUCAAACCAGCGAUUUAGAUUUUUGUUUUGUUAACAAUAUAAAUUUGCGUCCAGGGUAUAUUAGCGGACGGGAAGGAAAUUGCAGUAAAGAGACUCUCAAGAUCAUCCGGCCAAGGGCGACAAGAGUUCAAGAAUGAAGUUACUUUAAUCGCCAAAUUACAACAUAAAAAUCUUGUGAGACUACUGGGAUGCUGUUUAGAUGGAAAUGAACUGCUGCUCAUCUAUGAAUAUAUGCCCAACAAAAGCCUUGAUCUCUUCCUUUUUGGUUUGCCUCUUAAAACUUUCUAAAUCUAGUUCAGUCUUGGUUACAUUUAUUUUCACAUGCCGCUGGUAGCUAAGUUCUGCAAAUAAAACGGAUUCGUGACGUUAGGUUCAGGUGCUUUGCCAUAUUCGUGACGCUGGGAUAAAAGCUUAAAUUAAUGAUCUUGGUGCACCAUAUUUCCCUUCUAGAUUCCUAACUUGUGAGCAGGAUUUUGGGUUGAUUUUAUGUCAUAUGAAGCCUUUCAAUUACACGCAUUUAUUAUGGUAUGUAUUGUCUGUGGGAAGUAGCUAACAAGCACAAGUAAUGAAU
rnacentral:lncRNA from 1 species